GGAGGAGGGGGAGGGGGAGAAGGAGGAGGAGAGGGAGGGGGAGGAGGAGGAAGCCACAGAGUCAAAAGAACCAAUUCCACUAUGAGAAGUUGCCUUCAGAGGAUUUCCCUGAAUACCUGCACUUUCCCAACCUCCCACCUUCUGUCUGACUCCAGCAAGUUGCCUCAAAAGUUGAGUUUUCUUAAACCUUUCCCAAGCCUAAGCAAAGGACCGUUUUUAACCCUCCAAUUAAAAACAGGCUCCUUGGGGCCUGAUUUCUCCUUCAUAUUCCCUAAACAUGAACCGUCUGCAUGGUUUCUUUGUACAAGGUGGGCUUCUUUCUUAGCCUUCUCUUUACUUCUCUUGGCCUCUUUCUCCUCCUUGGAGCUUCUCAUUGCUAUCCGAUUGAGUUCCCACCCUGCUAUUUUUCUAUCUCUAAAAGUGAUGCUUUUCCUAAGGGGGAUGUCUUGUAAUUUUUUUUUUCUUUUUAAGCAACAGCAGGGAAAAUGAUAUGAGCAGACGUCUCUGCAAACAUUCGGUUGACAAAUUAAUAGGAGCUCCAUAUACACACUCUUUGGGAAAAGGGUUGCUGCUUUCAGGGACAACAGUGGGAGGGGCUGCCAGAGGAGGGCUAGAGAAGCUGGGGAUGAUAUUACUUAGACUGCAGGCUCGAACACAGGAGAGUCCAGAACUCAAAACCAGGAAGGAUGUGGUAAGAAUAGGCCCUGAAGGGGCAUCUUCUUGCCAAUGCCCCAACCCGUCGGCUGACAGGACAGCAAGUUCCACUCAAUAUUCCUCAACCCUCGUUCUGUCUUUCAGGGAGGCAAUCUCUUAUACAGAGAACACCAGAGUGAUUUUUUUUUCUAGAACCCUUUAUGACAGUUGAUAGGCUAGAAGUAGCCUUCUUAGGAGUAGGGUCUGGGAUGUAAGCAUGAUAUGCUGGGUACAUGGGGAAGAACGGAUGGAGACUCCAAAGAUGGCCAGGCAAGAAGUUGAGUUGAGGUUAUAAAGUUGGCUCUCAUUAGUCAGGACUCCUCAGAAGUCAAGGUACCUCAAAAAGCUUUGUAUGGGUUUCCAUGAAGAAAAUGGUGUAAACGGGACUUUUACCCACAGGGGGCUCAAACCUCCCUUGUGGCAUGGGUCUUCCAGGUAGACUGGAAGCACAUUUGGUGGCAACUGGCUGUGCCCUGUGGGCUGGCAUCCUACUGUCUUGUUGCCUGAAUUGGUCCUACACUCUCUGCCCUUCCACAGAUAGAGCACUACAAAGGCGCCUCGUUUUUCCAUCUUCUCUGGGCAUAGUUCAAAUGUCACCUCUUCCACAGAGCCUCCCACGAAUGCCCCAUGGGAGAUCAGUGUUCUCAUCCCUGGGCUCGAUAACCAUUGGUUGAGUGCUCCCCUAAAACUUAGAAAAAUAUCUACACAGGACAGGCUGAGGACUGUGAGUGAAUGGAGGGUUGUUAAGCCACCCAGGUUCUAAGUUAAAACAGCGGUACCUCCCCCUCCCCCCUUCUGUCAGUUACAUCCCUGCAAAGGAGUUCUCUUGGAAAUUGUCCUGGCAUGAGAAAGUAAUCGCCCAAACGGGCUUCUGACAGGCUUGCCUUGGCAUGAGAUGUAGUGUUUGGGUAGCCGUGGUUGAGCUUCUUGAUCCCACAGCCAUCUUUCUCUUCCCGCAACUGACUUGACGAAAGGCCGUGCUUGAAACAGCUCAGUCCUAAGGGUGGCCAGGAGCUAUGGAGGCAGGAGUUGGGGGUGGUGGUGGCAAAUGUCAAAAUUUCUGAAUGAUCCUUGGUGUAGUAACUGGCCAACUUGGGGAUGAGGAUGGGUGACAGAGCCUUUCACCUUUGGGGCCAGCACAUGCCUCGCCACAUGCAAGAGGUUGAGACAUCUGUCAGCUGGGCUUCUCCCGUAGGCUUUUCUUAAGGUCGCUUUCCAUUGGGAGAAAAGGUAGUGUUUCACUUGCAACUUGUGGCAGGGCUAUUGUUUCGGCCAUACAUUGAUCCAAGAAUUGUUUGUUCGUCACAUAGGUGGUCACCUGGGCAUACGAUGCCAGCAUACAAAUCUGUUCCAUAAGCUCUUUGCCAGGGGAUUUGAACUUAGUUGGCAAGAGGGCAAGAAGCAGAUUCCCACCCCAUGUUUGUGAGUUGAGCCAGUCUACAGCAGCACCAGGCUGAUAACACGUUAAGGUGUAUACAUGGGCAGUCUUUGUCUUUUUGGGGGGGUGGGAAUGAGUGUUUAUUUGCUCAGUAGAAAGUAAUGUAAACCAGAGACCAGAUGGAAGUCUGUCAGUGGUGGCAAGAAGCCCAGUUGCCCUUCAGACAGAAGUAGAUAAGGUAGAUAAAGCUUCAGAAAGAAGGAAGGGAUCCUGCCUAAGCCCAAAGAUCUUCACCUCAGUCUGAGGGCCUCUGAAACAGAGGUUUGAGGGAGACAAAAAUGCCUUUGUUCACAUCAGCAAACCUCUGCCAAGCUGGCGGUGUGGGUCUGACCCAGUCACCCUCUCUGCACAGGUAGGAAGCAAAUGUCCAAAGAGCAGUUGUCAGCUCAGGUCGAGUUUCCUAAUCCAAAGCAAAGCAGUCAGCCUGUUACCCUGAGGCAAUUCUCUGUCUUGGACCCAGCUGCUGCUCUCACUUUCUCUGGGCCCGUAAGCUAGCUCCUCAAGCCCCCAGCUGAAGUGGGACAGGACAGCAUUAUUAUGAGCAGUAGAGCAAAUUUUGAGUCAACAUGUUACCAAUAAGAGUUCCUAAGGGAAAGGGGAGUCUGUGUUUCAGACACAAUGAUAACCAUGAUGGAUAGAAAUGAAGGGAACAUUCUGGGCCUCUGCUCAACAAAAGAAUUCCUUGAACUUAGUCCUGGAAAUGGCAGAGCUGGGAGAGUCCUUAGAAAUGCUCAACUCCACUUUUUUUCCCCUGUCCUAGACAACUGCUUCCAUUCUACAGACAGAAAGUAAAGCAGAUGGUGACUUAGGGGUGAAUAUACUUAGUGUUUGGAGCUGAACCAGGUGCUCCUGAUCCCCACAUGAAUAUUCACCAAUGACAGCUAAAAUCUGUCAUUUGAGUUUAGAAAACUCUAGAUACAUAGGUCCACAAUCUGUGACUGAAUAUGCUAUAACCACCGGAUCAGUCAUUGCAUUGUUUCAAAUGCUGGUGAAAUAACAUUAUUAUUCAUUGAACUUGUUCAUGCAACAGUUAAAACAGGAAGUGUAUACAUUGUAUUUUAUAUUUUUCUUUCAUGGCACCUUUUUUUUUUUUCAAAAUCCCUUCUACAAACUUAAGAAGACAAGUACAGAGUGACUCAAAAGAGGUUGGCAUGCAACCUCAGUUUGUAUAAUUGGACAGACAACUUUAUAAUGUCAACUUGGGGUCUAUCCUAAAUCUGCAAGGAAGAAACCCUUAGUUUCUACCCAGUCUGUGCCUCAGCUGCUGGGUCCUUUCUGCUUUGUUCUGUGGACCAAUUCUGUAGCAAAGAGUGGAGAGCUGGAUUCAGAAGGCCCGUUAUACCUCUACUCUUGCUUCAAGACACAGCUCAAAUGUCUUCUCUGCGACGCUUUCCUGAGUCUUCUCCAACUUUUUAGUGUGGCCCAAAUCCUUCCCUUGUCUAACACCAUCUGGGCAUCCUGCCCAUUGUGUUCCAUGACAUUGUAAGAUCACAAUAACAGGCCCCACAGAGGCCUUGUAACUCCUGAUCUUUCAGCCUCAAAGACUACAAGGAGAAUGUGAGUGUCAAUAUUAGGAAAUUGGGACACACACCAGGUAGAGUUGACUAGUGACAUUCUGGGGGACAGACAUAUCAGGAAGGAGGGUGCAAUGCCACGGGCAGAGCCCGUGUGUGUGUGUGUGUGUGUGUGUGUGUGUGUGUGUGUGUGUGUUGGGGGUGCAUGGCAGGAAAGCCUUGUUGCAAUUGAACAGAAUGAGGUACUCUCAGAGCCUUGGCCUUGGAAGCCAGUCUUGGGAAGGGACAAGAGGUAGAGCAGCUUUCAGAAUAUACAGUCAGAAGGGCAUUGGAUGGCUGAGACGAACAGUAGAAUGCACUCUAGCCCAGGGUGUCUGUAGCCCCUGCUAGGUACCCCCAUCCUGGAUGAAGGCAACCGAUUUGGCAUAAGGUUUGUGGGCUUUGAAGAGGCUGGUAUGUAAUCCUGAACUGGGGCAUGGAGACAUUGAGACCUGGCUUUUCUCUGUCUCUCUCUUAGCCCUCCUGUCAGCUAGCUAUGAGGCCUUGGGUGGAUCUGUUCCCUUUGAAGAGGCCUUACAUAAUGUGGAUAACAUAAAUGCUAAUGGUUACUUCUGGGAUUGCAGGCUAGAUGAGCCCAAGUCUCAACACAGAUCUAUUCACUCAGUGUCUCCAGAAUGUCUCCUACCUGGUCCUUUCUAGUCAUCUUUGAAUUAUGCUUCAUAAAAACACAGGUCCAAACCCAACUGAUAUACUGGGAUGAAGCUGUAAAUUCUAACUGGGGCUGCUUAACCAGAAAUAUUUUUCUUUGUAUGUUCAAAAAUUACUUGCCUUUUUUUCAAAAAAUGUGUAUUUUGGAAAUGAUUUGAACACUGUUUCUUAAUGAUGGCUCAAAUUUUAAAAGCAAGAAUAUAAAAAAUAAAUGCUGGUGGUGGAGGGGAGAUCACUAGGAAAUACCAUUUUUCAAUUUUUGCAAAGGCAAGAGAACUAUGAACUCUGGUCUGUGUAUCACAGUCAUCUCAUGGUUAGCAAAGGACAUUGUAAAUAUUCAAGAGGGAAAAAAAGUAAAAAGGCCCAACCUUAGCCUAAAGGACAGGCUUUGCACAUAAUUCAGCUCUAUGAAAAAAGCCUUCCUGGUCUAUGUAAGUGCCAAGUUCAUCUCUGACUGACUCGGUGACCUGGACUGGUGGAGGGGGAGGGAGUAGGGGGGGUCGCUUUGGAAAUAGCAUUACCUUCUGCUGAGGGCUGGCCUUAAUCGGUGCCCUUUGUCAGGAAGUGAACAUCAAGGCUCUUGUCACAACCAUGUGCCAUGACAACUUGGAGUGGCUAUAGUCACAGGAGCCUAUGAGGAAGGAAGAGGCUGGGAUGUGUGAUUACACCGUUUCUUUCCGAUUUGCUUCCGGGCUCAGAAUAAAGCCCUUUCCCCAUGUUUCUGAAAUUCUUGCCGCCAAGGCUUCUACUAGAAUACCAGCCUGGGAGUUUUUUUCUUUUUAAUUUUUUAAAUAGAACCAGAAAUCGUGCAUUCUAGCCCUGCGCCAGUCUGAAUUAGUGGAAUUAGUGGCCUCUCUCACCUGCCAUCCCCUCUUCCACCUCUCUGCCCACCCCCUUCCCCCACUGUCUGUGGCCAGCUUUGAAGCUGGGUGGCCUUAGCCCUUACCUCCCUGUCUCAUCCCAUCAGAAACAAAGAAAACCUCAACUGCUCGAAGCUCAGAGCCCCUUCUUGGCUGUAGUCCUCCUUCUGACCAUGCUGCCUUGAAAUCGGUCACACGCUGCUCCUUCCAGGGUCCUCUCGCCCGGCCUCUCUGGGUCCCGCCAUAGUGCCAUGGCAAGCGAUGCUCCACCUCUUUUUCUCACUCUUCUCUCCACUCCCCAAAUGCCUUUGCCAUCAAAGUGGUGAUGGGAGCCAGCCAACUCUCGUAAACCAGCCAGGCAGGGAUAGGAAGGGCUCUCUUUUGAUUUGCACUUCUUCCUCCCAGAAGAGACGGGUGGGACCAUGCUUUAGUGAUAUCUGGCCGGGCGGAGGAAGCAUGGGUCUUCCAGGGUUUGGACUUGAUUUCCCUGUUUUGUUUUGUUUUCAAUCCCACAGUUGCUUGGCUAAUGCUAGCUUUCUAUGUCCCACAGUAGCAUCCCCUGAGAGCGUCUGGGCUCCGGAGUCUGACUAUUGCAUGCUUGGAGGAUCUAGUACGAUAAUAAAACAUAGGCCCCAUGUUCACAGGGCUCAGGGGCUCAUGAGCACAGGGGCGUUCCACUCUAUAGCAAGGUGACUCAGUUUGGCAGGACCCCACCACCACCAGGGACAGCUACCAAAGACUGGAGCUAGAGGCAGAUCCUGAGAAACCUUAAGGUGCGUGGCUGGGGUGCAGUGAGUUACGUAGAAGACCUCUGGCUAACUUUUUACUUGCCUUUCGGAAUCCACCCCAACAGUAUCAACAGAGAAUAAUGCACAGGGCUUCUUGGAGUAAAAAAAAAAUCCAACAGCUUCACAAAAUCCUAUUGUAAAAUUUGUGUUUUACCUCAAAAUUAUUACUUUUUUUUUUAAAAGAGCCUUGUUAAUUCGCUUCAAACCCACUCAGCUGCUGAAGAAUUUAGAGUAUUCAGCUAGAGAUCUUUGUAAUGAACAAGAAACUCAAUUAUUCUAGCUGCAUUAUCCAACGUCUCAGGCAUUCUUUGGCACAAGGGAUUAAAGCACUCCCCCCCCCCCCCCCCGCAAAUGGCAACACCAUUUGAGACAUAUCCUACACAAGAGGUUUUUAACUGAAUGUAGUUCCUUUUAAAAACAAGAGUUUUCCCCUGAAGAAACACUUUGUAGCCUGGUUCAUCCGAGGAGGGAUUUUUUUUUUUAGCUCGGGCUAACUGGCAUUUUAAAAUCAUUUUGUGUAGAUUUUAUAUAAAUAGGGAUGGGUUUUGCUGGGGCUGGACCUCCCCAAGGCUUGUUCCCACAACUCAGUAAAUUGCUCCAGCCCCUUUUUAUGCUUUACCCAGCACCUCCCUCCAUGGCUCAUCUUCCUACUCAAGAUCACUUCAUCAUUCCCCACAGAGGCUUAGUCUGAGCUGUCCUGGGCAUGUUCCUCCAUUCAGGGCAGAAAAAUCACAACAGCUGGAGCCUGGGGGAGCCUCCAGGCCUCUGUGAGAGAAAAUGGUUUCUCUUGAGAAAGAGCUGCUUUCAAACCAUGUAGGAAGGGAAGGACAUUGUCUUUGUCUUUUCUCCCAGCAUAAGUGUGUAAGCAGAGCAUGCACUAGCCUGUGUUCUUUGGUGCAAUUUAGAAAAAGGCAGCCCACCGAAACAGAUACAAAACUUGACCAAGAGUAGAGAGACGGGAUUUCCCUCAGAAGUGGUGGCUAGCCUGGUUAAGGAAGUCUACCCCACCCCCUUGGGUUUAGUUUUCUUCCCAGGUAGUUAAAAUGCUGAAAAGGGAGUUGAGGGCAAGUGACUGAAUCCAUAAAAGUAAGAUGCAAUUGUUCAACGGCUGCAAAUGCCGAGAGCUGUUUACAAACCUUCAGCUCCUUAUGUAAGCCUCCUUAUGGUGGCUUCUGCCACCAUAGCCACUCCCAUGACAGGCUGGACAUGAUAAUCUCUCAGAUCCUAGAAUCGCAUCGGAGAUUAAAAAAAAAAAAAAAAGCAGACUGGUGAUGUCUGCAAAAUCAUGGUCAGCAAGGAGCUGGAGUCAAAGGUGAGGUAGCCUCAAUGGUUAGACCCAAAGUACGGUCUGUCCAGGGACAGCGAGCAGUAUGACCUCGGGUUAUCUUUGCCCCGGUGAUGAAGAGUUGUGCAACUACUUUUACAAAUCUGUUCAAAGCAGGUUUCUUCUCUGCCUUGCUCUCCUUUCUCGGGUCUCCCCUCAUUCUUUGCCAAAUUUCUCGAAAGAGUCCAUGCUUGCUGUUUCAAUGACCUGUUCUGUCCCCCCCUCCCCCUCAUCCGGGUGAAGCAGAUGGCUGAGAAUGCAGGGUGUUUCUGAUCGAUGAUGUCACUGGCUGGUCUUGUUCCCUGCCCUCAGAAUGUUGGCUCACGGAGAUCUGAGCCGAUGACUUCCUUUGCUUUUUUUUUUUUUUUUUUCUCCUCCUCACACUGCCUCCCUUGGACUCCUGUUAAGCGACCAUUCCCUGAUUUUCCUUGUACUCUUGUGGCUUCCUUUUUGCUUCAUUAUGGAGUCCUGAGAUGAGGCUCUCCCUCCUGCCUCCGAUCAGACAAUUGUCCCCGAUCUCGGUCGUAUCUCCUGUGUUGGGAGAUCUGCCUGGGGAUUCCAGUCUCACAGCUCUGCAAUUGUCUCCCGUGUUUGUAUCGUAUGUUUCUGGCCCUUGCCCAAGUGUCUGAAGGUUACCUGUGGUUCCCUCAGAGUGCUUGGAGCUGUCACUUUCUCCUACAGUUUGUUUCUCCUCUUGGACACUCUAGAGACACAUGAAGGACUUGAGGGGGAAGGUGGGGGUUCCACGUCUAGGCAGGAAUCCUGGUUCUGCACUUUUCUAUGCAGUCUUUGGAAAUAGUCCUGCUUUCUCACGCUCCACAACGAUACCAUGCUCAUCACUAAAUGCUGGUCCUAUUCCUGGUUCCUGUCAGCAUGAACAUUUCACCUCUGAAAUGGGGUUGGGACAACGCAGCAGCUGUUUAACAGCACGUUUCUCCCCUUCCUUUAUACUUCCUUGAGUCCUUGUAAGUUCUUUGGAACUAUCUCUUACUUAGGUGUCUUCUUCCCACCUCUUAGGGAAGCUAUUUUAGGCCCAUGUAUCCCAUCUGUGGCCCCCGGGCUCUUUUCCUACUACCACUUAAGCACAGUUCUGAAUGGAGCCAUUCCCUUGCUCAAAAAAAUAAAAAAAAUAAAUAAAAAUAAAAUAAAAAAUAACCCUCAGUGCCUUCACUCUUGAUUCCAUAGUUUUCAAGGUAUUAUUUAUUUUGGAGGGGGCUGUUAUUUGGGUUUUUGGGGGGGGGUUGUUGUUUUGUUUUUACAAUCUGCCUCAAAUUUAUUUUUUUAAACUAAAUUUAGGCUGGCCUCAGUCAGUCACCUUCGGGUCUCUCAGUCAGGGAUCUUUGGGGGUGGAAGAGGCAGUGCCCUAUACAAAGGUAACCACUCUGGAGGUUAGGUUCGUAAUCUUGGUUCCCCAGUGUCACUUCAAGUUAAAUGAGUCUUCACCUACAUGCAAGUGCUAGGCUGCUAUCCUCAGGGCAAAUGGGUGACCUCAGGUAGCUUAGCAUUGAAGUAAAAAGGAAAAAACCCAAGAACCUUAUAAAACGGGUGAUUGACCUAAGCUCUCUUGAGUCAAUAAACAUGGUGAGGAUAGGGACUGGGAGGGGAAAGGACUUGAAGCAACAUGAUAGUCCUUGGCUCACAAGAGACAGGCUCAUUGUGUAUUACCAAGGGUGCAGGAACCCUCUGCUGUUUCUAUUUCUCGGUGCCAAGCAUGUGCCUUGAAAAGCGUGCUUGCUAUUUUGGGUUCGAGGUCGUUAGAACGACCUCUUUCCACAGAAGAUACUAAGCGGAUACAGAAACUCUUCAUAAUACCUGUCUAACUGGAAAUUUGAUGUUCAAGACAGAAGACUGGAGAGAUAGCAUUUUGGUGUUUUGGUUGUUGAAUGAAAAAAAGAAAUAAAAAGGAAAGGACAUGACUGCUCCUAGGUAUGCUCCUAGGAGGAGGGGGUUUAUUGUAGAUAAAAGGGACAGCAUACCAGAGGGAGAGACUGGAGACAUCUGAGAGUGUCCGGAGUGAACAUGACCCUGAGCUGGGCCCUGUGAGGAGAGAACAAGAGAGGAGCUGCCAACCAAGAGGGGCAGCCUGGGACAGGAGACUGGCUGAGAGACUGGCAUAGGCUAAAUGACUGAGUAAUAUAGAGGCCAGAGGAGCUGGAGGGAAGGAAGUCCAGCCCAAUAUGUAGACUGGAGAGUUCAGGGCAGGGGUAUGCCAGGCCACAGGUAGAGGCUAAGGGACUCUGGGAGAACCAGUUGGCCAGAGAGGUCUACUUUGAUAUGUUAAUGGAUGACUCAGCUUUUUGCCCUGGCUGGAUUAGCCUGUCUUUGGCAGACCCUUUAGACUCUCUUGGAGAUUAGAAACAGUAGGGGAUUCCAGUAACCCUUAUCUUUUGACGAAAAGGCAUUCUUUUUCCAUUUUUAAAGAGUUGAAACUCCCCCCCCCCCCCCGAAGCUCAGAGAUAAUUAAAUGCAGGGGGUCUACUGUGGGUGUGCUGAGAAUUCAGCGCUCUCAACUGUCCGGGUCCUCUGUCUACUCUUAGCAAUGAACCCCCCCCCCCCAUGGCUGCACUGGACUUUAUCUUACCUAAUAGCUAACAUUUACUGAGUGCUUACUAUGUGCCAGGCACUUUAAAGAGAAACAGUGCCUCAUUUCUGUGUGGUUUCUGGGAAACUGAGCAGGAACCUAAGAAAAAUAGAAACGGAGAAAUGAAGGGUUUGUGGGGGCUCCUGGUGUCUGGGACCCACCAUGGUACAGUUCAGCCUCAGCAACAUGCCAGCCCUCCCCUAGGUCAGGAGUGGGCUGCAAUUCAGUGGGUGAGCGGGAGCACGGGGGGGGGGAGGAGGAGAAACAGCAGACUGUGCAAGCUCCAUUCUUGUCAGCCUCUGCUGAGCUGGUGUCAGAAGCACUGUUUAGGAGGCUGAGUAGGAAGAGGAGCCCACCCCUCACCCCCAACCCUUUCGACACAAUCUCCCAUCCGCCCCCAUCCUCCAGAGUGAAAUGUUUAGUGUGUCUUUUGUGAAUACUGGUGGAGAAUUUAACAGAGCGGUCUCCUGUUUACAAGAAGAGAUGAAAAGACUCGGAGACCUUUCCCAUAAGGGAUGAAGAAAGAGUGGUCAGGACAGGAUGCCUGGUUGUAGGGUAGGAAGAAAAAGGGGAACCGGAACUGAGAGCCCCGCGGGCUGACAGAGCCUCCUUCCUAUGAAAGCACUGUAGAAGGUCUCAUUCUGCCUUCAACAGCGUGGUGGUUAUUUGCACCGUUUCUCGGGAAAGGGAAAAGAGUGAGGGCAAGAGAGCAGAGGGGGGGGGCGUCCCUACUGAGGAAAGUAGACUCUCAGAACACAAGUCCCAGGGCAGCAGGCAGGUACAGUGGCCCCAGGGAGUCUGUUCUGUGCCUAGAUUUGUCACAGAUGUGGCACAGGCAGUUACCACCCAGUCAGCCAGCCUCUCAUCCAGGGGAUUGUCCCUUAAAGUUAUGGUUUUUUGAAAAGGAAUUAAAAAAAAAUGCUCUUGGAAUCUUCUGUAGCGUCUUGCAGGAUAUUUGAAAUGUAAAUUUUCCUCAUUAAAAAAAAAAAAGAAAAAAGAAAUUCCACAGAAAGUAGGACUUUUCCAGACAAUUGAGCAUUUCUCACUGUCAGAGAUUUGUGCCUGCCUCUCACUCUCUCACAGAGAGUGUUAUUAAACCAAGACCUCUAGUUCUCUGCAGUAACUCCAUUUCAGAACCCUUGCCCCAAAACACACACACACACACACACACACACACACACACACACACACACACACACACACACACACAGAGUUUGUUUACCUUCUGUUUCUCUUGGCAGUGCAAGAAAAGUGUGUGUGUGUGUGUGUGUGUGUGUGUGUGUGUGUGUGUGUGUGUGUGGUGCGUACUACUCUGCUGCAAAGCGGUUGCUGUUACCCUAAGAGUUGGCAAGGAAGCCUGGAAGACAUUAGAAUUCCUCAGUGAAUCGGACAGGAUGCUAAGCACAGGGCCAGCUGGGAGGGCAAAAGGCACAGUGAUCCCCCAUCUUGAUUAAACAAAUUGUCUUCACUUAGAAAGUUGAGAAAUAGGGGUGAGCUUGGAGAGGCGGUGUCAACCCAGGAACAAUGCAGAGUCCACCGCCAGGGCGGAGGAGGGAGGGGACUGUUGAACUGGGAGCCAGUUGUUGGCCAGGGGUUCUGACCAAGGCUUUUCUUGUAGAAAAGAGUGGGUAUGGGAGUGUGAGUACGAGAGCAAAGAAGGUCAAACAGAACAAGAGCGUGGCGCGCUCUUUGUGGAAAGUGAAAGGGCAAAGCCGGAAGUCAACUAAAUAGCCCAUCUGGGAUGAAGCCCGAGAUGAACUCUUAGGUGUGAGACUCCAGGUUUCUGCAGGGCAUCUUGAGGAGGACUGUGGGAAAUCUUUGACUCAGCAGCAGCUGUAGAGGACUGGCGCUUGGCUCUAGGGAUCGAGGCUUUAUUUAACUCUCACUCCAGAAAUGGGCAGGGAGUGGAAUCACAAUGAUCGUAGGCACUGCUUUGUUGCUUCAGUAAGAAUUGCUGUUUCACUGACGCAGGAACCCACAGUGAAACAUUAGGCAGAGCUUGAGGAAUCCUGUGGAAGAUGGGAAGAUGGGUUCGGGGAGGCAACUGAAGGAGUCAGACAGGGGUCCUGAUCACCACAAGAAAACCUACGGGAAUCAACAAACCUGGGCCCUCGGGGGUUCAUAGAGACAGAACCACCAACCAAAGAGCAUGCCCUGAGUUGGACCUAGGUUCCUUCUGCGCCUAUUUAACAAUUAUGCAGCUGGGUCUUCACGUGGGACUCCUAAAGCGGGAGGAGCAGGGGCUUCUCUGACGGCAUUACCUGUGUUUGGAUCCUUUCCCCUAACUGGGCUGCCUUGUCGAGCUUUAAUAGAAGAAGAUACACCAUAGUGUUAGCUGAAACUUGAUAUGCCAAGGCUGAUGGAUAUGCAAGGGUGGCCUCUCCUUUUCUGAGGAGAAAGGGAGGGAGAGGGCAUAGAGAGAGGAGAGGUGAGAGGGAGGUCUGACUGGGAGGUGUAGAGGGGGAGGGGGAAGAUGCCAUUGGGAUUUAAAUUAAAUAAGUAAUGUAAUUGAUAAAAAAAUUGCCUUUCAGACCUGAGGUCUGAGAAAGUAACAGGAUUGAAUAUGAAGAUAGCAUUUGUAAGUAUCUAAGGAAUGUCAGGGAGGAGAGGGGGGAGAGGCUGUCAUCAGCAUGCUAGGGAUAGAAAGAUGGGUAAGACUUGGCCCUUACUCUUGAGGGGGCCGUGAUUGGAGGGUGGGGAGCUCUCAGGGACUUAGGAUGUUUAGUUAAACACAGACAGCUUUGGAUUCCUUAGUAUUUUUUUUCUCCCGUAGUACCCACUAUUUUAUUCUUCCAUGGAGACACUGAGCUUUUCAACAGCCCACCCCUUCAAUCCAACCACCAAAGGCAUUCACAGACUUUGGUUGUUUCUCCUUGAGCUGACAUUGUUGGGAAAUGACUGUUUGGGGAAAAAAGAUCCUUUUUCUUUUGGAAUUUUAUGUAAUAUCUAGUCCGGCGUUUGAGGUGUUAAACUUCAUUUUAAAAAAUUCCACAGGAAGUAGGACAGACCCAAAUAAUUCGGCAUAUCUUUUUGUCAGAGAUUUGUAUCUCCUGAUGUAAACAGCCAAGUUAUGUAACAGCGACACAACCUCAUAACACAUUCCAUAGUCAACAUACACACAGAAGUCACCUUCUAUCCCUCUCAACAUGGAAAUAAGUAGGAGUGUGUGUGUGUGUGUGUGUGUGUGUGUGUGUGUGUGUGUGUGUGUGUGUCCGCUCUGGCUGGUCACCAAGGGAAGAGAGCACUUCUGCUACAUUUUUAUAGUCUUAACCAGAAGAAAACCCAAGAGUCAGUUCUGUAAUGGUGGGUUUAUGGGUUUCACUGGACAAUGGGAGGGAAAGAGGGAAGGAAAGAGGGCCCUUGAGAGUGGGUGGAGAUUGGUCUGAGCAGAGUCGGGUGGGGAAGCUAGGCUCUAGGAUGUGGCAUAGGUGGGUGUCACAGAGAGCAUACUCAUACUCAGUAACAGCUGAUUUGCACAGAGCAGUGGCACCAAGGUCACAUGCAGAGACUCAAGGAUCCAGAGAAGCGAGACUUACAGGAUCCUUAACAGUGGUGCCUGCAAAACCUGAUGGGGCCAGGUGUGAAGAUACCUUGACUUCAAGUCAGCCCAGGGUCCUGCUUCCUGUUCACUUCUGAGCAGACUAGCCCCACCCCGAUUUGCCAGAGAAUGGGUCUCGAGUACCGUGGGCUCACUUGGUGCCAGCCCAGCCUGUUGGAAAUGAUGCUGUUAACUUGGUGGCUAUCUUCAGCCACCUUGUCUCCUAGUUAGAAAGUGACCAUUUUCUCUUUCCUUGAAAGAUACAGUCUUCAUUAUUCUGGUUGGGCAUUGGUCCAAGGGUCUGGGAAGGACAGGGUAUUAAUAAAGUGAGAAAGUCUAAUCCAUUUCCUAGUUAAUCUCCUAAAGGCUUGGCCUUGCCUUUUCUUUCUUUCUUUCUUUUUUUAUUAGUGUAUGUUGACUCUACAGAACAGGUUUCAUUAUGACAUUUUCAUACAUGUAUAUAAUGUAUUUUGAUCAUAUGCACCCCAAAGGACUUUACUUAGUCUGGAGCCCAUGCCUAUGUGUAGCUAGUGUCACUGGGUGUGCAACGUAUGGGAUAUGGAGGUGAACCCCUCCAGCUGGCCUCCCAUUGGUGCCACCCUAGGGAUUACAGUGUCGGAUGUGAUGAAUAAAAAAGGCUCCUUUAGCCUUGUAAGCUUGGGGCAACAGCAUUUUUGGGGCCCUCCACAGGCCUCCAAGGUCAGAAUCUCUAGGACCUGCUGGAACUUCCAUUUUUAACCCUGACAUGGGUGAAUGGUCAAUGUCUUGCCUGUAGUUAAACCACAUCUCUCCUGAGCACAGGUCCCAAGCCUUUUACUGCCUCUGGUGUGUGACUUUGAUCAACCUUCCAAUAGGAAUCUGUAUGCUUUCAAACGGGCUAAUUCUAAAGAACAAAAAGUGAGAACUCCCUGGCUUGCAGUCAGGCGAGAGCCUUGCCUUUUCUUGAGAAGGAUUCUUCUUUUUCUUCUAAGGACAGUGUUCUUACAUUGGGGUACUUGGAUAUGCCUGGUUAGGAUAUAUGUAGUUUUGAAACGCACCCCAUAUGUCAUAUGAAAGUAUUUUGUACUCUGCUGGAUAGAGACGAAGAUUCACAAAAGAAUCAAGUCUUCCAAGGAGAAAAAUCAAAACCAAAAUAAAACAUAACAAAACCAAGUGUCCAAAUGUAAUUUGGACAGAGCAAUGCAAUUUGCUGCUACUUGAUUUUUUGUUUUUUUUUUUGUUUUUUUUUUUUUUUAUUCUGCUUUGGUUUUUUGUUUUUGUCUCUGCUCAUUCCACUAAUGAUGUGUGUCCUCCAGGCUUGUUGUUUGGUGUAUACAGGAAGGGAGCAUGUGUGUGUGUGUGUGUGUGUGUGUGUGUGUGUGUGUGUGUGUGCUCGCGCCUGUGCGUGUGUGUAUUGGGGAGACUGGCGAGUGUUCCCUAUCCACAGAUGAACCAUGACUGAGAGGACACAUAGGUAGAGGGUGGAGGAAGACAGGAAGGUGACUGCAGAGGUCAGGAAAGAGGAUGAAGAUAGCUUUGGCGGAUAAGAGGGGACUUUUGCAGGUUGUAGCUGUUGUGCUUUGCAAUAAAACACCACUGUUGGCUUAUAAUUGCCUCACGAUUAGUAAUUACCUUGUGUUUUUCUCUUGAGGAUUACAAGAGUGGUUCUGGUGGAAUAUUUUCAUGAUUGAGAGUGCACGAAUGUGUCUCAUGAGGGUAGACCCUCAUAAGAGGACAUUUGGCUUCUCUUUUUCUCCCAAAGUCCCCUCACUACCACAUGGCGGUCCUUCUGAUUUCCAACCUCAUGCUUUGUGUUUUUUAUUUUUUCUCUAAGCAAAAGACUCACACAGGAGCACAGUUAACACCUGGGAAUUGUCAGCUAGUAACUGGAUGUGAAUUACCAGCUGUGAAGAGGGCCAUCCAGAGCCAAAUGAUCCCGCAGAGGAACACCAUGGCUCUUUCUCCAAGAAAAGUGGUGAAAUUGAACUGUGCUGGGUGCUUAUUAAACCUUGAUCCUUUGUUACAUUAAUUAUUACACAAACUGCAGUGCAAGAGACUUCCUACCUCAAAUGUCUAGAAUAUAAAAAAGGAAAGUUGGAUAUCUAUGAUGAUUCUGGAGCUCAUGGUGGUUGGGAUGCUCUAUGCAGUCUUCAACCUGGCAGAGGCUGUCUCCAAUAGCUUCCUGGCAGAGGGUGGGCUGCUGCUCCAUUGAAUGACAGGUCUGCUGCCAAACUGUUAGUGAGCUAAAGUUCGGGGGUUUGACUGAAGCAGAAGACAUUUUCUGUGAUGGAAGUGGAGAGGGCAAAGGAAAGGAGACGAAGAUCACCUUUCCUCAGGCUCAACAGUUCAUUAGACGUCGUCUGACUUGUCCUUGAGAUGGAUUCUGCACAAGUGGUCGGUAACACUUGAGAAGAAUCUGGGUGGGAAUGGAAGGGAUUAGAGGUCUUAGCUGAGUAGACAGGAGCAACCGGUGCCUGAAAGAUGAUGGCCUGCAUGGUCCUUGACAGAUGGCUGAGAUCAGAGAAGGUAGCUGUGAUCCUGUGUCCUGAGGUCUGCUCCUCUCUCUCUCUCAGGAAUUAGAAUACUAGAGGUUUCUGGGGGACUUUGACAAAGGUUUUGCAGAGCCCUGCAAGGCAAUUAGCGCAGGGAGAAGCUCACUAAGGGCUCUUUGUUUGGCAGGAGCUGCCAUCCCUUGGAAGAGUGGACCCUUGCUCUUACUGGGCCUAUCGUUGGCCUAGAGUUCAAGUGGAGUCAUCAUGCUUUGCUUCCCCACGCUUCCUCAACCCUACUCUUUAUUGGUUGCUUUUGGGGUGGGUGGGGCUGCUCCAGAGCAAGUCCUCUUUUUCUUUCUUCCCUCGGUCUUUGGCUUCUAAGAGUAAUUUCUGCCCAGCAGUGGCAUCUGGGAGGGUGAAGUUGCUUGAAAUAAGCAACCUUACAUUGGCAGGGACUCUGCUUCUACCUGUUUCUCUAGAGGCUUUAAGAGGGCAGCCUAAACCUUUGAAGCAUUCUCCAUUCUUAACUAGAUGACUAUGUUUCUCUUCAAUCUGUUCAGACUCUUCUGGGACCCACUUUCAAGAAAAAUAGAAACAGAGUCACUACACGGGAGUCUUCCCAGGGCACAAAGGAUCCUUCCUUCUAGCUAAUGAAGGGAUGUCUGAUCCUUCCUAGAAAUGCUGCCGGUUGGGUUGCAACCAAGGGUUAAGUGUUUGGGGUUGGGGGUGGAGACUACCAGCAAUUGAGGAGUAAGUAAUAGCACCAGGAUCUUUGGGUUCAGUUGAGAGUAACAUCAGGGAAUGUUGGCUUCUCCGGUGCCUGACUGGCAUCUCUACAGAGAAUGCCUUGGUGCCUGAUGUCACUGCAUGUACCGUCUGUUUGACCUGGAGAUGGGUGAUCACUGUUCUGGGUUCCUAUGAGGUACAGAGCAAGUACCACACUCUUGGGACAGGGAGAAGCAGCUUACGUGGGUUGGGUAGAUUUUCAGCAGUGAUGGGCUGGCUUGGGGUGCGGGGAACUCUGUGAUCCAGGUACCCAUGGAUAAGUAGCCUGUUAUACAACAAGAAUUGAAAUGACAGUGGAUCAUACUUCUUCAUUGUACGAUGUUAUAUUGGUAAUAAGACAUUUAUUAGGAAGCUUCGAGUUGGAAUAUUUGCCAAGCUUAUUUCCUUGGGUAACCUCAGGUACUAGCAACUGGAUGGGUCUUUCCUUGCAUCUCCCUGCUUCGACCCAGGCAGAGGAGAGCCUGUGGCCUGCCAAUGUCUUGAAUCCAGGAUGGCGCCUCAGUUACCUCUUGAUAGGCAGGAAGUGGCCAAGGGCAGGUAGCUGCUCUAGAGGUAAGGUAGACAGAUGCUCUGGAGAUGGAUGCUGAGAUUCCUAAGUGAACGGUCACCAGACAGGGAAAGGCAAACCAGAGCCAAACUGGAGAGGCCAGAAUCAAUGAACAAGAACGGCGUGUGCUCUGUCUGAAACACCAAUGUCUGCAGAGCUAGUUUCUAAUGGAGGACUGACUCGCACAAAGUCCAGUGCAAAAGAAGAGUUGCAAUUCCCGACUCUCCCCCCUCUAUUUCUCAGUUGACCUGUCCAGUAAUGUAUACUGGCAUUCCAAUGCUAAAUCCUCUGCAAAGGACUAGCAAUUGGAGAGAGGGAAGGUUAAGAUAAUUUCUGCCCUCAUGCUCGCUAAUGUCUUCUUCCUUGACUUAUCAAGCUGCCUUCUCAUUUUUACCCAUUUGAGAAACGUCAUUUCUCCGUUUUCUACCCCAAAUCCCUCCAAUCUCUGAUCUCUCUCUGUGUGCUCCCAAGCCUCUCUAAAAUAGCAACCUAGGAAUAAACAAGCAUGGGCAACUAGAAAGGGACACAACACACACAAAAGAGGACAUCUGUUUGACACACACCUGUGUUCAUUCUGUGACACUUAAAUGCUGUGCCCAUUCAUAGUGUGAGGUGGGAGAAAUCACCAUUUCCCUCUUGUAAGUCCCACCCCCCCCACCUCUGGGUGUUAGAUGACUCACAUUUUUACCUGGGUAAUUUUUCUCUGCAGGGAUGUCUCUGUGUAAACAAGUUCAAACCCAUUGUGUGCUGUCCGUUUACUUUGUAGAUUAAUGAUGGGACAUUACAAUGGUUGGGACUGAACUGUGAGCUGAGAAGAGGACCUCUUCAUCCCCAGUGUAGGCUCCCAUGCAAUUCCUUAGCCUCACCUCACGUCUUUCGUACAGUACAUUGACUGCUAGAUAUUUACUGAUUAAUAAUUAAGCUCAAGGCAUGAAAGCCUAUAAUGAUAAACUUAUUAGAGGCUAAGAAAGGGAAAUAAUAACAGCAAACAAACUCAAGAGCUAAGGUAUUCUUUUCAUCUCUUACAUCCUCCUCUUCUUCUCCUCCUCCUCCUCCUUUUUUCUUUUUUGAGACAGGGUCUUAUUGUGUAGCCCUGGCUGGUAUAGGACUGCUUUGUAGACCGGGCUGGCCUUCAACUCAUAAAGGUCCACUUGCCCCUGCAUCCCAAGCUCUGGGAUUAAAGAGCCACCAUGCACAGGCUUAUUAUCUCCUACCUUGAUUUCAUUUCCAAGACUUUGGUGUUUUAUGUGCAAACAUUGUUCUCACCUAAGAUCCGGGGGCCGAAGAGACCUUGAAGAAUGAAAGUGGAAGAGAUGUUGGAGAGAGCUGCAUUAUGCAACCGAGCAGAGAACUGCAUUAUGCAACCGAGCAGAGACUGCUUGUGAUUAGCCCCUUUUUGCCCCAAACGUUCCCAGCCUUACCUGUUUAGGAGCUUGUCACGAUGCCUUUCAACUGAAUGUUAAGAAACUCGGAUUUUCAUUUCUUAGUAUUCUUCCUGAGAUGCAAACAUUACGUGUGUGUUACAUUUGGCUAAGAGUUAGCUUGAGAGGGACAGUUUCUUUUUGGGCAAAAUUACCAUGAAGAGACUAAGACCCACUAAACCCAAACCUUAUCAACUUAGCCAAUUGUAUUUGUACCUGCCUUUUGGCUAACCUACGUUUGAAUACGAAGUGUGUGUGUGGGGGGAAUAAAAGGUAGAAUCUUUUACAUUUGAGUCGAGCCUUUACUAUAUGUAUAUAAUAUAUAUGCAUAUAUAUACAUUUGCAUAUACAUAUAUGCAUAUAUAUAUAUAUUCACACAUCCUUAGAAUUGAAUCAGUGCACCAUAAAAGUACCUGUCUAAAGGCUCAGAAUCAACUUAUGUUUUCUUAAGAAUAGACAGCAUUUUUCUCUUAAUUUUCGUUUGGAAAAUACUAAAGUAGUUGACAAUUUCCACACAUAUUCAUACUCAAAACUGCACUCAAGUUUGCUCAGGUGUGUGUGUGUGUGUGUGUGUGUACACACACGUGAGUGCCUACCGCUGUGUGUUUUAAACCAUGCAUUUAGAAAACCUGUCUGGGAUACCACAGAGAGUGAAAGUUUGAGUCUUUGGAUAGUGUAACCCCAUCAAAAGGAGCCUGUGGCUCCACUCACUGUUCACAGAGAGUACGCACAGAUCUUUUCCCCUCCUUGUGGUCAGUUUUUUUUUUCUUUGUGAUCGGUAAUUGGCUUCUCUUGGUACGCUGAGAUCUAUUACAAAGCCAAACAUUCAGAGGCCGAGAUGAAAUGACACAAUUUGGUUAUAAUUUAUGUUGGCCCCUGACAUAUAUAUUUUUUUUAAUGAUUUGGUCUCUAAGCAACUGAUCUCUUAGCAACAAGAAGCACCUUUAUAAAAGAUGGCACACAAAGAGUGCCUGCAAGAAAAGCUAUCCGGUUUCUAAACGGCUGCGCAUCAUUAGCAAAACUCACCACCUUCAAGAGUCCAAAAACUAGAAGUGACCAGCAGAUCCAGGUAACCACGCUAUUUGCACAUUUUCCUGGAAAAAAAAAAACAAACCUCAUGCAACUAUUGAAGAGGACAAAAUUCUCUGAAAUAUACUCAUUUUAUUAGGUCUUAGUUGUUGGUCUUGUCUAACUUUUGAUAAGAGAAUGUAAUCUUUUCAAUAACUGCUUGAUUAUUUUUUUAAAAAAAUACGUUGGACAUGGAUUUUGUAAUCAGAAAACAGCUCUCUCAAAACAAUCUCACUGGUGCGAGAAGAGAAGAGGGGAGCACUUUCUCUUUUGCAGAGUUUCAUUCGAAGGAACAAAUGCUCUGUACUGUGGGAGACGGACGUGCAAACUGUCUCACCCAAGCCACGCACACAGUGGUGAGAUAAGUGUGUUUUUAGAGUCUUGAAAUAUUUAAAGAGUAGCAGAAUUGUUUUACUUCUUUAACUUCAGCUGUUUGCUUGAUUCAGUGUCAAUUCCAUUUGUCAGAGACAGUAAGGUUGUUUUCCCCCUCCCCUUCAAAACACAAAAGCAAGCAUUUUUCCCCCCAUUGGUGUUUUUAAAAAAAAAAAGGUACAUUCCUGAACUAAAAAUAGUAGAAAUUAUAGCCAUCUGUGUCGUCUCGCUUGCUUUUUCCAGGUAACUAAAAGUUGAUGUUGAAAUUCUUUCUAGAAAAUUAGAGUUAGAGAAGAGGAACGAUUAUUUCAUUGGUAGCCCUUUAAUUAAGAUUAUGUAAUUAUCAGCCCAAUUUGGGGGCACUCGAUGGGCAGGAAAGGGAGAAGUGGCUUGUUGGGAGGUUGGGUGGGGGCAAAAUAAAAAAGAAUCUUCAUGGAGCUUGGAAGCAGCUCUGAAUAGAGACACCACAGGCAGAAUACAGAAUGCCACAGACUGAGAGAGAUGAGUCGGGAUGGUGAUGGUGACUUUUGGUUUCUACGUGAACUGCAGCACCUUCUCUAAAUCAAAUCAUCUGCAGACAGUUUCUAAAAACGAGAAAGGGGGGGGGCAGAUAGGUUGGAGGGGGUACAUAGCUUGGAUCAGGAAAUCCCAAACCAGGACAAUGCCUGAAGAUUUGGGCGGGAUGUCUGUCCCUCUGAGUACCCCGAGAGCACAUCGUUAUGCCUUGUGUUUUUGUCUGUGCUAGCAACUCCAGGCAAAACUCCUUCCUGUGCCGGCUGCAAAUCGGGAGUUAGUAACGUGUGAAUUCUGAGUUGCAGAAACUUUAAUAAGCAGUAUACUGUGAAUGUAAGGAGGACCGCAUAGUCUUCCAGGGCUAAAUAAUCUCUGAAUUUCUAGUGCAGUGUGGGCAUGGUUGUAAAAAGGCGUCUUGUGGUUUCAAUGCUAAGGAAAAGAGAUAAUUCUAUUGUAUAACAUGCUAGGUGUGUUUUCAGUUUCAAGUGCUCUGCGGUCUCUUGGACACCGAGGAGGUUUAGGAGAGAGAAGCAGAAAAGCGGUAGUAACAUUUGUAGUGCAGGUGCCAGGGGGUUUGUCAUUGUUCUUUUGAGAUGUGUUGGUUGGAGCCAUGGCUGUUCACCCCGAGGGUCAUAUCUUCUGAGUUUUUUGUCUAUGCAUAAAGGUGACAGAGCUUGUGGUUUUGGCUGAUUUGGUGAGCCUUUCUUUCACUAGGACGGACAAACAAUUGCAGGGUUUGAGAUCUACGUUUGAAACACUCUGAGCAAACUGGCUCAGGCAGACCUUGCUCUGUAGUCUUGAGAGUGCGUUUUGGUCAUUUUGGGCACACUCCCUUGUGCGUGCGCACGCAUGCACGCACGCACUCACGCGCGCGCACUAAUGAAUGGUCUCAACGGAAAAGAGAAAUGUCAAAGGGAGGCACAAGAGCUCACCGGGCAAAGGAAGAGCUUUCAUUUCAAAAACUGAGGGUUUGCACCACACCCGUGUCUCCACACCCUAGACAAGCUGAACAGUUACUUUGCUGAAAACCCCAGGCUUGGGUCAGGUGUGAGGUGAGGAGGGGUAAGGGGGGCAGUUACAAGGUCCCCUGUCAUAUUGCUGUGAGGAGGUACCGUAUAAGCUACCUUAAAGUCAAAGUUAACGUGGUCAGCCUGUAACUUGACCAACUGCUAUACAGUCAGUCAGUCAGUCAGUCAGUCAGUCAGUCAGUCAGUCAGUCAGUCUUGGGCAGCAAUGCCUCCACCGUCUUCAGCAGGCCAUGCCUGGCAUAGCACAGUCUUUCUGUGGUGCGAGAGAAACAAGAGCUAUAACUGGAACAGCAGCUUUGGCCGAGGCACCCAGUGAGCGCUGGGCAGCUGCUGAAGUGACAGUUUUGUUUAAUCCUCACAACAACUGUGUGGAGGUAUAGGUGUCUCCAUUUUACACACAUGUUAAGUAAGCCAGGUUCAGCAGUUUGCCAAGGAGUCCCCUAAACGGCGAAUAGCAAUAUUGGGAGUUAAACACAGGGCAGUCUGACUCCCAAGCCUGUGAGAUUUUCUUGAGCCAAUGGCGAGCUUCUUCUCAAUGCCGUUGGAACAGUCCCUCUUAGUAAAGAAAAGGCUCUAGGAACUGGGCUGGAGGUGGUGAGCAGGGCAUCUUCACACAGAAGAAAUCCCUUUGGGAGGGAUGCGGGUCCUGGGCUUUCAGGGGCUGCCUCAGUCUAUGAACUGGAGGUGGACACUCAGUCAGGCUGUGGCAGCGACAGCCACGAGCCAUGUUGCCAUUCCUUGCCGUGAUGUACGUCUCAAGUGUAGGACUCCCAGGGGGCACACUUUCUGGGAGAGCUGCCUGAGGCAGGCCUCCCUCCCUGAUGGGAACCCUAUCCCUGGAACAUGACAGCUGAAGGCUUCUCCUGCACAGAAGGUGCAAACUAGGUCAAGUGGCAUGCCACCUAGGGAGAGCGUGGGAAUGGAGGGAAGAUCUGGGGCUGGGUGGGCAUGGCUGUGGGGAAUGGAACAAUAACGGAAAAAGCACGACUUUCUUCUGAGGUCACUAUUUCACACUUAGAAGAUGGUGGUGUCCUGUCUCCUUGGGCUUACAGGAUUGCCCUCAUCCCUCUGGACCCUUCAAAUGCCCCUGACAAAGGAUUUGGUGUUAGCAAGGUUCUCUCAAGAGCACCCUCCUGAAACGGUUUCUGGGUGGCAGAAGGCUGGCGGGAGAGGGCAGGCAGGGCAGGGCAGCUGGGAUUAGUCCGGGAGACAACCACACAUGCAACCCUAUUUCUUUUGAUCUUACAUCAACCAGCUCAGAGACUUGGGCGGUCUUGCUUAAAGCCACAGAUGGUUCGUGUAGGUGUAAGAGCCCUGUGGUUUUUCCUUCAGUCUGGGAAGGAUGAUGGUUCAUAUGGGCAGAAGAGACUCUGCAGUGUUGUACAGAUUCCCAGUGGUUUGGGCGGGGGUGGGGAGGGUGGACUUGGCGUGAUCAUUGAAGUGAAUGCAGGUGAAGAACUUCACCUACCACAUUCGAAUCCAUCUCAGUAGGAGGGUGUCUAGGGGUUGCCAAAGGUACAAGGGACAACCUGCCCCUUUCCCAGUUCCUCCCUUGCUGAGCCCCACCUGUGGACACUUGCUCUGGCCAUAUGCCAGAGAGCUUAGGAAGUCUGAAGCACUUGCUUACUGGUACUUUUUACUUUUGAAUAAGAACCGUCCUUGUGCAAAACUGGGCAAGAAGUCUUGCUUCCAGUUUCCUGGGACUCUUGUGUCUGAUGAUAGACGCUCUUCCCUCCUUGUGUUCCUGCCUGGUGUGUGGUGCUAUGACACAUAUGCUACACGUGCGCUGACACCCUGUGAGCCUUGCAUGGCAUGCGUACGUAACUCAUGCUGCAUCCCACCAAGAAGUGCACACCAAGCCUCCUUUUAUCUGACAAUGCUGGGCAGAAGAGGACCGCUGAACUUACUCUAGUCCUUGAAUAUAAUAUAUCACUAUGGAUCCUGGGAGCUGACUUGGAAAUUGCAUAAUUUGGACUUCCUGUUUUGGAGCUGAGAAAACUGAGUUAAUGGUUCUCACGCCUUGGAUUAAAGGCUGAAGAUAGAAUCCAGUUCUCUUGGCUCGGCGCAGUCCAGUGCUCCUUUUCCUCUGUAUGAUAACAAUUGUAAUUCCUUUGAGAAGGGUAAUAGCGUAGGCCAUUACCCGGGUUUUAAAGACAGGAAACGCUGGGGGCAUGAUUAGGACAAGGCUACUUAAAAAAGUACUAUUAAAACUGUGAAGGUGAUUUGGCAACCCUCCAAAAUUAGUCAUCCCCAUUUUGUCUGUUGAACAUAAAUGUGGGGCAUCAUAUAAAAAUGAAGGCAGUGGUGUCCCCAAAGAGCUCUUCAGCCUGUUAAAUCACACAGUUUUCCUCCCUGUGUGAAUUAGCAAGCAGAAGAGGAGGUGGAGUGCUCCCUACUGCUAGGAAGCCUAGCAUCCAAACCGAUCAUUCAUUUAUGUAAUCUGCAGAAGAGAAAUAAGCAUGCAUCUGCGUGUUUGAAUUGCAGAGCCACAACCCAUAUCACAGAUGUGACUGUGGAAAGGGUGCUAUCAGACUGCCUUCCUGUUGGAGCAAGUUUCCUUCCUACAGACGGUUUUAAUUCCCUUGUUUUUGAGUCUGGCACUCUCCUGGAGGAGGAUGGAGCAUAAAGGGGUGUGUGUGUGUGUGUGUGUUGUGGGGGGGUGGGUUGCAGAAACUCUGAUGACUAUGCCAAACACCUGAGCUGUGAAGUCAUCAGCAUUGGGCUCCUAUGGUCACUUUGUGUGUUGACACCAUUGUAUAGAUUUAAUAUUGAUGACCUGGCAUGUUGGUAUUCUAAACACCUUUUUUUUCUCUUUUUUUGCACAUGAGAAAGCAGAGAUUUGAAGAACAGAGGGUGACACCACAGAGUGGCAUUUGCCCUCAGCAUGUGCUGGCGAUACAGAGCUAGAUAAGACAUGGUCCUUGUCUUGAAGAAGCUCAACCCCUAAUGACGCUUGUGUCUAAUUAACUUGGGGACUUGUGUUAUUUAAGAAUCAAGCCCAGUUUAAUGGUGAGGUUUUUAAGUAGAUACUAAAAAAAUAUUUUGGAACACAUUCUGAAGGUUGAAAGCGGUCUGACAGAAGAUCUACACCGGGGUAUGAAAAUGUAGACCUAGUGUUUGAAAGGUGGGCUGGGGAGGGGUAUAGGGCCUGUGGAAUAAAGGCAAGAGCACAGAAGAGAGGAGAGUGGUGGCACAUGCGGGUAACCCUAGCAUCUGGUAGGUAGAAAAAGAAUUGCUGCAUGGUUGCUGCCAACCUGGUCGUUCUACCUAGUGAGUUCUAGGCUAGUUAGGGCUACAUAGUGAAAUCCUGCCUCAAACAGACAAACAAACAAACAGAAAAACGAAGACAAACAAGAAAAACAAAACUCAAAAGAACAUGGGAGAAGUGGUCAGGCCUCACGAAGGACCAGGAGGCUUUACGGUUCCUUCCCUUAGCUAAAGGGGUUCCAGUUGGAGGGAUAACCCAAACAAUGAGCUUGUCAUUGGGUUAGCUCUCCGUGUGUGUGUGUGCGUGUGUGUGUACAGACAGUAGCCCAGAUAGUACACCUGUGAUAGAGCAGAGAGAGGAAGACAAAUAAGUACAGUUUCAUGAGUAGAGGUCUCAAGGCUCAGCUGUAGAAAAGGGUGGAAGACGGGCCCCUAAACAGCUACAUCAGCAAAACGUCUCAGCUCUAGCUUGGAGGACAGCUCCAUGAGUGUUCAGAUGGAGUCUUUACUUCAGAUAACCUUUUACCUUCCAUAUAUCCCAGCACCUCCGGAGACUGCCCACAACUGGUUGGGAGGGGAGACUGCCCUCCAGGUUGGGAGGGGAGCACAUAGAAGGGAGUGGCUGGAGAUCGCAGGUUGGCUCUCUCCACUCUUCUGGGAGUCUUUCCUGCAGGUAGUCACAGCACUUGGCAAUAUAAAACACUUACAGAAAACUCCUAAAAGCAGCAGUUUGGAUUUGGUGAGUGGAAAGAGGGGAUGCAUUGUAAUGUUUGUUACUGCAGGCUCUUGACCUUUCUUUGUUCUUUUGUUGUGCGGUGGUUUUUAAAUAUCACCAGAUUGUGUGCACCUAUUAAAAAUACGUGCAGAGGAAAUUGGUUUUGUCUAUCUGACACUUUUUUUUUUUGAGACAAGGUCUCACCAUGUAGCCUGUGGCUGGCCUCGAACACACUCUGUCGACCAGGCUGGCCUCAACCUCACGGCGAUCUGGCUUCCUCUGUCUCCUGAGUGCUGGGAUAAAAGGUGCAGCACACUUAGAUGCUGUCAAACUUUUUAAAUGGUUGAGCUUAUCAAGAAUGGCCCUAGUCACUGGGGAUAGCACCUAACCUCAGACUAAUUUCUGAGAAAGCAAUGGAAGGGGCACAGUGGUCAGCUGGUGGAGAGGGAACCGGGGGACAACAGUAUCCUCAAUGGAAAGAGGAAUGUGGGCUUUGCUGUCUGUCUGGGUGGAAUUGGGGUGAGCUCGUUGGUCCACAAAGUUUAGAUUUUGUAAAUGUGCUUAUCCAAGUAGGACUCUUCCUUGGAAACAUUAAACACACUGAGUCUAAGGAAAGACUUCUGGUCUUCUGAGGGUAGAGGACAUGUAAAUCAAGUCAGAAGGGUCAUUUAGAUAUUCAUGUAUUAGAAUUUCAAAGUUACUGUAAUGGUUUCAUGGGGAUCACCAGUCUUGGGAAAGGAAGUCAAGACUUUCCAGGAGCUGGAAUAGUGACAGGAGUUUGGAGAGGUCUUGUGGGGUACUAAGGAGAGGGGCAAUGUAGCCUUGGGACUGUAGACAGCCAACUCUGCUAGGUUAGCUAGGAGGAGGGAGACAAAGAUAGAUAAAAGUGACCCAGAAGCAAGUUGAGCUAUCCCAUUUUUGGGAGAUGUUCUCUUGGAAGGCACCAGAGAUGUGCAGGGUGUUGUGACUUGCAAACAGUUCAUCAGACAGAGUAAAAGAGGAGGACUCAGAUGCCCCCAGAAAGCAACUUGGGUAAAUGGGAAGCUAAGAAACCAGAUUAUUGGCAAGCAACACAGGAGGAGAGCAGCCACGAACCGUAUGCUUACUGAAUGAAAGCCUGAAGAUCUGUCCUCUACAGAGGUCACGUGUGGAUCCUGACUGCCUUUGAGGCCUGGAGAUGGUUAGCUUGAGGUGGGUGGAGAAGUCAUAGAGACUGAUAGGAGUUAGCCAUUUCUUAACUGUGGACUCAUAUCAAGGAAACAGUGUCAACUUGAUAUUUAAGAUGGAUCUACCUCUCCUUAUUGUACACGGUAUUUUUUUUUAAUCACUUGAGAGAUUGACAUGUGAUAAAACACCCACCAAAUGGCGGCAGGGGUGCAUCAUAAAUAAAGUUCUACACAUUAACUAUUGCUUAAUCUGUGUUUCUCGGAGUCUCUUCGCUGUCUAGGGACUCCUUGAAGUGUUUGUUGUUGGCUUGGUAAAGAGAGGAAGACAAACACUGACAGGAGGAGCUUCAGUAACCCCAAGGCCUAACUCGCACAACAGCACUAGAGUCUCACGACAAAGGUUUAAAAUGGGAAAGGGGAGUGAGGGGAAGAAGUACUGGGCCCCCUCGGUGAGCUUUUGCAAGACUUCAGCAUAUGGGGUUGGUGUAUGAGAUCCAGUUUUGUUCCGAAGACUGCUUGCAGUCAAUUGGGAUGUAAAAGUUAAAAAUUUCAAAACCAAGAAUUACAAAACAAAACACAGCGAGCUGAGGGAUGCACCCUGAAGAAUACACCCCAGACGGCAGUGCAGGUCUGAAACCUGUGGGAGAUGGGCUAGAGCUUUUUGGACAGCCUUAAGCAGUUGCCAUGUCAAAGCCGUCUGCAAGAAGAGUCCUGUAUUGACUGGAAUUGACUGCCUAGAUUAUUGUAAUUAUCAAACAGUAUUAAGUGCCAACUAGCUUAACCGGAAAUGAAAAGAGGUUUGAUGGGCCUCUCUAUGAAAAAAAGACGUAACCUGGGACAGCAAGCUCAUUUGAAAAUGUGCAUAAUGACUAGUUACCAGGAAAGUGACGGCUGAGGCCCGAGGAUGGCUACGACCCCCAGACUGGCACAUCCCAAGUGUUGGCAAGAAUACGUGGAGCAGUCAGGAACACCUAGACUCUGGUAGAGGGGCAGUGAAACUUUGACGGUUAACUGUCUUAGUACUUGGAAACAAGUACUAAGUGUGUGACACCAUCAUUUUUUUCUUAGCUUCUCACCUAGGAGAAGUGAAAUAGUUGCAGUGUAAAGACUUUUCUACUCAUUUAUCAUGGCACCCUUAUUUGAAACAGCCAGAUCUGGGGGGGUGGGCAACUUGGGCAUUUAUUAAGAAUGACCUGGAUAAAGCAUGGUAUGGCUCUACAUUAGAAAAGCACCCAUCAGUGUUGAGGGGCAAGCAACUGGCACUGGUGGACCUCAGAAUGCAGAUACGUGAUGGACGGGGACUGGAGGGGGAGUCUGAACCGUGUAGUUUUGCUGACUGAGGACUCUAGAAUGUGUGAACCAUUCAACAAUACAGGGAACAUGUAGGUGGUGGUCUGUGGAGGGGGCAGGAAGAGGAUGGAUCACAGUGAGGUAAUGGCGGUUAACUGUCUUGGCUUUGGAGACAGCUACAUAGGCAAUAAGACUCACACAAUCUGACAUUUUAAGGAUCAAGGAUUAUCUGUGUCCGUUAUGGUUCAGUCAGUGGUUCAAGUGCUGCAGGAGCCGGCAAGGUCUGCUGCAACAGACCCUCCCACCUGUGUUAUGAGAGGCCUUGAGGAGUUCCCCAAGAGAGAACCCAGCUUUUACACAAAACCGUCUCAGAUACCUGGAUGGAUAUUUAGGUUGCCCACUUUUAAAAGUUGGGGCUGGUGUGAUUGUAUAUAACUGUGGAUGUAUGUGGCAGGGGACAGGACUGGCAAGACAGAAGAGAUGGGAUUUGAUAUGAGGAAAUAUGACAGGUGCCUCAAUCCCACAUCUGAUUUGAAAGUGACCCAGGAAAAGCUUUAAAGAGCCCGAGUAGCCAUGUCUUGGAAACUUACACUCAUCCUCACUCAGUGGUAGUCCCCUCUCCACAGACUAACACGGUGCUGGUCAGAUCUAUGUAAUGAUAUCAAGUGGCCCUAGCUCCAGGGCAAGGUGUGUCUCCCUGGGGUCAAUAAGCCUGCUUACUAUUCCAUCUGCUCCCCACCACCACCACUUCCCACACUGUUACUCCAGCUCCACCAAAAUCCUUUCCCCUACAAUAUUUCCAACUCCACUUCUUCAUUUAACACUGAUUCCUGAAGACUCUGCUUUCCCUAGUAAAUGUGUUUCAAUAAUUGUUCUGGUUCCAGUGCUGGGAGCUGGAGUUGGUGUUUUCUAGACACCCUACCGCCAACCCUUGAACCUAUCUUUCUUUUUCCUUCUUCUAAAAACCACACCCAUCUGUUCACCCUGUUGCCCUCACUCCUGAAGGCCUUAGUGCCUUUCCCAGGUCUUAUACUCCACCCAACCCUUGAUGUUAUUUUAAUUAACGAUGUCUUUCUAAGUAACGAUGUCCCUGUGGCUGCUCCAGCUAGAGCUAGGGCUCCCCUGUUGCUGGACGCCGCGCCUUCAGUGAUCCAUCCCCCUCCCCAGCCCACCGGCUCAGCACGCAUUUGUGUGGUCACGGCUUUGUUUCUUCCCCCUUUCAGCUCGGUUUACCAAGCGCCUACUCUUAAGAGUUCUCCAGGCUCUCCAAGAGCGGAGUCUCUCUGCUUAGCCUCCGCCUUGAAUCCUCCAGUCUCCAUUUUUACCGGGAUCAGAAGACACGAUUUUUCCCCCCAUAGUGUCCUGCAAAUAUUAUAGUCUGCCCUCUUUUGGCCCCACUCGUGUCCUUCCCUGACAAAUGUGCAGCUUUGUCUGCAGUCGGGCCUGCAUCUAUGAAAAUUAGUGGAGAUUAUGACACAGCUGGGCGCUGUAGCAUUGCUCCAAUUCAAUAUUCUCCACGAUCGAUCGGGGGAGUCUCAACACUCAGUGCUCAGGAGUUUAUCGUGUUCCUCACGACGACCCGCCCAUCUCAACUCUCCCUUCCUUCACAAUCAGUCCGGACCCCGACCCCCAGGGCUCCCAGAGAAAAGACUGGCAAGAAAAUACAAUGCAGCCUGCAUGACACCCCUUAGCUAAGGCCAGACACCUGACACGCCCGUCCCUUACUCCCUGGCCUGAGGCCUGCUCCAGUGAUAAAUGCUUUCUAAAUCAACUUCUUUCUCACUACUGGUUUCUUUCCUUCAGCACUCGAUGAUGAGAUAGUAUCUUCUCUUUGCAACAAAGUUAAGCUGAUAGACCUCCUUCAGUGCACAGGUCCCUCCAGCGGUCCCUCCUCAGUCUCCUCCCAGUUGUAGAUGCUUUUCUGAGGAUUGGUAGACACCGAUUCCUCUUAGCCUCCUCCACGCCCAUCCCCUUUCUCCUUUCAGUUCAGGCUUUCAACUCAACAAAGAAACUGUUCCUGCUGCUUCCACUCUGAGCAGCGCACUUUAGCCAAUGCCAGUGUCCAGCCUUCAGCCGAUUUGUAUAGUGAGCAAUGUUGGUCUCACACUUACACUCUCCUUCUAGCAACACACUUUUUUUUUUUUUUUUUUUUUUUUGGUUUUCUGAUAGAAGAUGCCAUGUCUCACCUGUCCAUCCCUUCUCCCUUCUAAAGGCCAAAUCCUUAAGUUCUUAGGAAGCUUUGUUCACGCACCCUCCUUUGGCAGUUUCAGUUUCUCCUACGGUGGUCAAUACCAGCUCUCCAGUAACUGAGGUUAGGGGCCUGGCUUAAUGGUGGCUAAAAUACUACCUCAUGACUUACCUCAUGACUGACAGAGACAAGGCACUUACUUGGCUGUUUAUCUGCAUAGUAUUUCUCUCUCCUCUAGACUAUCAGGGCCAAGGGCGUGCAGCGUGUUCCCUAUUCACCAAGACUAUGCAGUCUAUUUGGCCAACGUAGAAGAUAAGUGACCGUGUUUGAUGACUAACUUCUCUGCUUGGUGGGCCUUUGCUUGUCUUCACGGCAUUGUCUAACCUAGAAAAGCCACUUCUCUCUUUUCUGUAGAUUCAAGUGGACGGUUGUUUUUGUUUUGUUUUGCUUUGCUUUUGUGGAAGAGACAUUAAAUUUUUUUUUUUGCUAGAAGUGGGGGCAUUCUAUAUUUGUGUUAAGAAAACACUACUAUCAAGUGUGUGUGAGCAUGCACACGCACGUGCGUGCACUUGUGUGUUCUUCAGAGUUUCAAGUAAGAGGGCGCCAAGUUGAGCCGCAGUUUCUGAUGCCUGGUCAGCAGUAGCAGGGGUAUUUGUGGUUCUUUUCCAGAUGAAGGUUGGUGGAAGUCUCCACUCACAGGUAGAAUUGAGAUUAGAGAGGCGGGGCAGGUGAGGCUUUCCAAGAUGAAAGUAGACUUGUCCUUUGGGAGUAAGCUGAUGGGCAAUGAUGAACUGCUGAGUUCUUUCACCUUUCUCCCUCCUUGGGCACACACACACACACACACAUACACACACAUACACGGACACACGGACACAGACACAUGGUUCUUUUGGAAUGGCCAACUCCCCUUUUCUUAUUGGAAUCCUGUCUUUUCUCGUCCGUUUCUCUAUGAAGUUCUAUCUUCCCCCCAGAACGACAGCUUUCCCACCUCCCAGCGCUUAUUCAAGUACCCAACAUGGAUUUGAAUGUUGACUUUAUCAAAGCAUGGUACCUACCAUCUGAGGUCAAAGGGCAACUUCUAACUGGAACAGAUGAAAAGAUAUCCUAGACAUCUAAGAACGGAGAGUUGGUAAAGGACACUAGGUGAAUGGCAGACACAUCGUUGCCCCUUGAUUUUAUCACAGUUCAGACGAAUCGUGUGUCAAUAAUGCUUAAUGUUCAUUCAUCUGGUGGUCAAGAGCGUGCUAUGUCAGAAGCAUAAGCGUGUUUGUCUUACAAUGUCAGAAUUUGUUGAACAACAAGAAUUUCACAGGCGGUUUGUCUUGUUGGCAGCUAGUGAAUGUGACAAUAUCAGAUUCUUUGAUAGGAGAGGCAGGAUCUUUCACCCAAAUCUUUAAAAAAUACUUUUAAAUUGUGUGCGUGCCUGUGUGUGCAUACGGCAGGGGCCUGAAGAGUUCAGAGGCAUCGGACCCCUUGGAGGUAGGGUUAUAGAUACUUGUUUGCCACCUAUUUGUGGGUGCUAUGAUUUGAACUUUGUCCCUCUGAAGGAGAGUAUUCUCUCCUAACCACAGAGCCAUCUCUCCAGUCCUCUUUUGUUUGAAUCUUAAUUACUACAAUUAACUCUCAAAUCUUAAAAUUACCCUUGAAGACAGUAAGCAUCAAGGCUGUGGAAUAGUUGCAGGGUGCUACAGAAGUCCCAGCAGAGUUUAAAGAUGCCUGGGCGGCCCAAGUUGGGAAACCCACCCAAAAGAUGCAAAAGAGUAGGAUGGGCCUGGGGCCCGGUUAGAGGUCAGACAGCUAACUCCACUGGAGGUCCUCUGUAGGUACCUCUGUUGCUGAUGCCGCCUUUGAGUCCUUUCAAAGUCAAACUACUAGAGUGAGGUGCAGCUGGGGGGAGGGAGUAGAGUCAAAGGGGCAGGGCUGGGGAAGGGGAAGGGAAAGGGAAGGAGGAUGGAUGGACCAGUGAAUGGCAGAUCUAGAGGGAUGAAUAGGUAGUCAGCGGCUGACUAUAUGCUGGCUUCGUCAAUCCCCUGGAUACCUGGCUAAAUUGAAGAUCCUAGGAUAUAAGACAUUCUCUGUCAACCUCUUGCCAUACAUAGGGGCUGGUCGGAUGAGACCACGGAUUGGAGCCAUGGCCAUUGCUAUAUAGCACAUGUGUUUAAACAAUAGCACAUCUUUAAGGCGAUCUGGUGAGAGAGUCAUGCACUUUUCUUUGGACUGGUGUGUCUCAGGCCUGGCUUUUGCGAUUCUGGUUUCAGGACACUCAUGAGCUCCUACGGCCCCCUGUUAUUUUUCGAUAAGAAUAGGAUGGCACCAUUGCUACUCUUAAGAGGAGAAUUAGGUAGCAGUCUAUGUUAUGCAGAUGGCGCUGGAUGGACGGGCGGUAUUUUAUGUACCCAACAAGGUUCACAGUCACCCUGCCUCUCCUCAUGAUGGUGUCAAAAGCUGUCUAUAAGAUGGAGUCUAUUAGGCAGAAUGCAGUGUGAAAAGGCAGGAUUCUUCAUACCUUACAAAAGUAGCAUAGGGCAGGGCACAGAUUGACCUCAACACUCGUGAGGUCGACGGAAAGGUCAUGGGUGACCCCACUUUGCUCCUUCCUUUGAUCAGAAUAAACUCUCCAACUCCAGACUAGCCCAAGAUACUACCCCUCGGCUUUUAAAUAGCUCUACAUCUUACUACAGAUCAGCUCCUUCCAAUUUACCUCUUCCCAGGCUGUCUGUGUAUUCAUGCUGUGGCAAUCUGUGUAGCCUUUUAAAUGGGACAAGACAUUUAGUCACACCAGAUGUAUCCUGUAGCAGAUUGGAUUCAAAUACGCUCUGGGUUGACCUAAGCAGAUUCCACUCCCACUCCCACCCCACCCCACCCCCGCCAACCCCCAACUUAAAAGCACAGGUUCAGUUCUUUCCCUGACUCCUCCUUAGAUUUCCCAGCGUCGUCGGCCCAGCCUUCGGCAACACUUUAGGGCCAGUGUUUCUGGGAGAAGGGUUAGGAUGCGUUUGCAUUUGUGCUCCGCGCCAUCAGCAUCUUUGUUGAGAUUUCUAGUUCUUGUACACCUGGCAGAAAGAAGGCUGUUCAGGGAAAGAAGCUCUGCUUUCUUUUGCCCUCCUCUGAGCAGGGCUGCUCUCUCCUUCAUUACUUUUAGUUGAUUGUCUGGCUUCCUUUCUUUGGAGGUGUAGUGCCACAUUAACCCUUGCUGUCUGGAUUAGUUUUCCUGUCUUUUCCCCUGGGCCUUAUUGGUCCCGGGCCUUAAGGCAGAAAUAAGGUGGUCUUUGUGCUCUCCUGUCCACCCUCUUCCCUCAAUGCUGGAAACUUGACACCACACCACCUUGAGCUUAGUUGGAGUUGGGAGUGAGUCAGUAAACCAUAAACAGGAUCCUGGCUAUUUUUUUUUCUCCUAACAAAGUGCCUCGCUUGCCUUUGCCGACACUGAAACUCCUCAUCUUUUCUCUGCCCACACACCCUGGCUUCCCGUGGAUUCUCCCCAUCUGCCUGGCAUUUUCUUCCUACCUCUAGAGAGCUUUCCAGGCUUCUGUGUCCCUGGCACCUGCACCAUCAAUUCUUGCUCUGGUUCAUUUCUAAGAUGGAGAAUCAGGGUAGCUGGUUUACAGGGCUGUCCUAUGGCUUCCUGUGUCUCUUGGCCUGUCACGGUCCCCCACCCCCACCCCCUCUCAGCCCACUGCAGCAUUCAGAGGAAGCCUUAUAAGAGCUGCUUCCUUGACAAAGGAGCUGUUUGUCUUGGAACGACAAAGCUACGAGUAACGUCCAAUUUGCCCCUCCCAGACCUCCCCUGAAGUGGGAACGGAGCACGAGAUGUCUCCCAAGGUCUUUUAUUACAUCACAUUUCCUUGCACUUAGCCAAAAGGAAUUAUCCAUCUCCAAGUAUUUCUAAACAUAAUGUACUCCUAGAAGCAACAGUUGUAUAACAAGCACAACAUUUUAUUUUAUUUUAUUUUAUUUUAUUUUAUUUUAGGCAAGAAGUGAAAUUUGGAGGCUCUGGUGAUAUUAUUUUUCUUUUGCUGUGAUAAAAUAUCACGACCAGAAGCAACUUAAGGAAGUUGCUUAGGAUUCCAGAAGGUUAGAGUACACAAUAAUAGGUUUGGCAUAGCAGUGGAAGUGGAAAGUCACAGGCACACAUGGGUGACACACUUCCUUUAGCAAGGCUGCACCUCCUUGCGGUUCUAUAUCUUCUACAAAGAGAGUUCCACAUGGUAGGGGCGCCACAUGCAAAUGACCUCACAGGAAUAAAGACGUGUUAGACAUGUCAAUAUGUGUAUAUGUAUAGUGAGCAACAAGGUCUGGGGGAAGCUGAUGGGAAGCUGAGAGAAUGCCAAGCUUUGUGGCCAGGAGACGGUGAUUUGGAAAGUGGGCAACCCUCACUAAAAGGAGGCAGGGUCCCUGGAGUGCUAGCCAGGGCCUGUUUGAGGAGCCCCCAGUAGGAAGGCUGCAAAUACAAUACGUGUGGGCUGCAGUGCAUAAAGAUCAGGAAGAACAGACUGGAAGCCUUGGAGAUGAGACCAUGGUUCCAAGGUGGAUGCACUGGGUCACAGUCUUGUCUGCCACCAAAUCGCUGGCUGACUUUGGGCAGGCUGACCUGAAAUCAUACCACCACCACCCCCUCAAGCCAGUGUGAGAAGACUGCUGAGAGCCACGGCACAGAGUAGGUGCUCAAAUAAGCAGGUGCAUGUAAGCGCACAGCUGUGCAUAUGGUUGCUACUGUAUUUGUACACAUGAAAGCAUUUUGCGACUUCCCCAAGGGAAGCAUGAAAUUGAAGCGGUGCUUCUGUUGGCUCUCAAGCCAAGAGCUCUGAAGCCUUCAGAGCCAUUAAUGGCUCCAGGACCGUGGAAGACAAUUCUAUGAUUCGUUGUUAUGGGAAAUUCCCAGAGUGGGGCCCUCUCACCAUCACAGAAUCGCCACCAUACUGUAGUACCACGGAAUAAACUUUACCUCUGGGGUAGAUUAUGACGUAUAGCUGUAACAUAGUGGACAGCAGCCAUUGUCCCCACCGCCCAUGAUGGUAACCUCCUCAGCACUGGCACUGCAGGUAGAGAGUCAGGACUGACGGCUGUGGAAUCAACAUCUGUGACUAACAUGUCUCAGUGACAAUAAAUUAUCUGAACUGGGCACUUGAGAGCUAACGGGGAAGUGUUAACAGCAGGACAUUUUUUCCCUUGGGCGAUUUUUUUUCCCAUCCAUGACUGCCUGUCCAAUACUCCUCAUUUGACUUUUUUUUUUUUUGAAAAUUCAGCUCUUUCUGACAUUUUUCCUCCUUCUCAAUAUCUCUGUGUUUUGAAGGGUGUUAUUGUCAGUCAUCCCUUCCCGGAGAGCAGAUCUUCUAACUGUGCUUAGCAUUCCCCACGAGAAUGGGGGUCAAAAUCCUCACAUACUGAGAGAGGCAGGUGGUGCCUCCUCCAUUAUAUGACGAUGGGAUCAAGAGGCUUGGUAACUUGCCCAACAAAAGUUACCGCUCUGUUAAGUGGCAUAGUAAAGAUGUGUUUGUCUUAAACGUCAAGUUCUUUUCAGACGUGUACUGGAUCAAGGUGUCUAGAGACGAUGAAUCGGGAAUGACUAGCAUUGGGCACUCAUGCCGGCCCUUCCACUGCUGUACUUAUGGGAUUACCCUUCUCCCACGGGUAGAGCAAGUCUCAAACCCUCGGGUUAGAGGGGGCGGAUGAUUGACCAUUAGGUGCCCUGCAGCUUCAACAGAGAAGACGGCUUCCUAAAUGCAUGCUACUAAGGCUUGAGUGUGCUUACCCAUUCCUGUGAUCUUGGCUCCUGGAGUGGGGAGGGGGAAGGCAGGGGGAUCGGGACCUCUAGAUCACUCUCAGCUACAUAGCAAACUUGGGACAGUCCCAAGGUAUACAAGACCCCAUCUACAAGUAAAUAAAAUAAAGGUUAUUAAAGUACCCUGCUUCUUGUUUCUUUGAAAAUGGUAUCUUAAGCCAGCUACCUGAUUUUAUUAAUUUGUGCCCAGGGCAGAGGAAAGAUGAAGAACAGGUUUCCAAAGAGCCAGGGAUUGGUUAGUUACCGAGAAAUCAUUCAGGGACGCCUCUUUUGGGAACACCCACUUUGACUUCGCCAUGGUGUUUGCUGGUGGACUGACUCCUGUCUGGUUCUGUGUGAACCAAGCCCAGGCUCUCGUUGAACUGGACGAUGGUACUGUGAACUGUUUGGGCUCCUUUAUCGUUGUGGAAGCCAUCAUUUCCAGCAUGGUAGUUUGCACGGUGCUAGACACGAGUGCGUCCUGCGGUACUGGAGCAAGCAAGAAAGAGCUGUUGGACAGGUACCCUCAUUACUCAUCCAACUGCUUCUCCACCCUUAAAGAGCCCGUCACACCCUAGUACCGGAAGUGGCCUCCACCCCUUAAAUCCUGUCCUGCCUACCAGGCGGCAGACUUUCCUGUGUCACCAAUAGAUUCUUUUCUUCAUGAUGAUUUUUUAAAAUGUGUAUGGGUGUUUUCCCUGCCUCUAUGUAUGUGCCUGCUACCCAUGGAGGCCAGAGGAGUGUACUGGGUCCCCUGGAACUGGAGUUACGGAUGGCUGUGAGCUGUUGCGUGGGUGCUGGGGAUCAAACCUGGGUCCUCUGCAAGAGUAGGUAGUGUUCUUAACCACCCACUACAGCAAGCUCUCACACAGAUUUUUAAGACCAAUGACAACACCUUCCCUGUAGAACUUGGGAUCAAUAGCCAGCAAGUCACAACUUUGGUCUGAAGUAGGUCUGAGUUAGCUAUUGGAGAUCAUUUUCAUUCCAGGACAUCAAUGACCUAACUUGAACCCAGUUCUGAGCAGUAGAAGGGUUAAAAGCCUCCCCUUCCUACUCACUCGUAUCUUGAGUAAUGAUUUCUUUGUUACCUUCUCUCUCUCUCUCUCUUUUUUUUAAUAGUCUCCCUUCGCUUCCCUCAUAAUAGGAAAGAAAAAUUGAUGUUACCAAUUCAGUCAAGCUUCUCCACAUAGGAGGCUACCCUCUCUUCACCCUCAAAGGCUACAGAAUCGUGUGGGAAUUUACCGUCUGGCUAUUAACAGGGACACUGGGAACAAAUGGAGUGUGUCUAACAGCAGUAUAAUUUUGAAUUGGGUCAUGCUUCUGCAAGGGACAAUAGUGUUGCCUCCCUUACCAAGAGACCCUUCUUAUACCCUGUUCUCUCGCCAUGAUUAAGCUACCUGUUUGCCACAUCCUCAUCUCUAAGGCUCUACUUAAGGCAGGAGGCUCCCUGAGAGGCUUUGGGGCGCCCCACUCAGAAGGCUUCCAGCGAAUGAACGGAUUGUUUGGGGGAACUAUGUCCUGGCCACUGGCUGUGACAGGCAGGACCUAGUAGGAAUCUGUGGGCUGCUUGCCUGGGGUUAUAAAUGGCUGUCCUCCAGGGGACACUACAUGGUGAACUUUUCCUCCUAAACUCCUGAAGAGUGAACCCUAGGCUAAAUGUUGCCACUUUAAUUUGUGACUAUUUCAAUUAAAUUAUCUCAAGGCAAAGAACAUUUUCCUGCCGAGAAGCUGGGCAGAGGGCUAAAGUUACACAAUGCAGAGCGACUUGGCAAUUACUCUCCACUCUGCUAUCUAAGAUGUAAUGCCUCAAGCCCAUAACAAUACUGACUACGCCUUGUUUCCAAAUGCUGGUUCACAGCCCAUCCAGAACUUUCCCAAAACCAUCCACGGCCCUUUGCAUGUUUAGCCUGUGUCCUAGCUGAGUUUCUCUGUCACUGUGAUACAACACAGACCUAGAGCAAGUCACAGUCCAUCCCACCAGGGGGAGUUAGGACAGGAACUGAAGUAGGGCCAGGGGCAGAAGCAACAGGAGAAAGCUAGUUACCGGUUUACAGGCUUGGUUUUCAUCGCUUAAAACAAAAACAAAAGCAAAAACAAAAAAACAAACAAAAACCCACAAACAAAACAAAGCAGGGCUGCUCAAAGAAGGCCUGGCUCUCCCACAUCAAUCAAGAAAAUGUCCCAUAGAUGUGUCCAGAGGCCAAUCUGAUGAAGGCAACUAUUCUUCAACUGAAAUUCUACAUUGUUGCUUUUAUUGACAUUCUCAUGCCAGUUUUUUUUUCAAUACAUAAUCUUUGUCACAGACUAGAAGUUCGACAAAUUAUUUUCCAUGCCAAAACUUAUGUAAUGUUACUGUCCUAGGCACCUUUUUUUAUUGGAUUAUUUAAAUUUGCAUUUCAAAUGUUAUCCCUUUUCCCGGUUUCCUGUCCAUAAACUCCCUAUCCCAUCUCUCCUCCCCCUUCUUUUAUGAGGGUGUUCCUUCUCACCUCCCGACCCUGACAUUCCACUACACUGGGGCAUCAAGCCUUGGUAGGACCAAAGGCUUCUCCUCCCAUCAGUCCCCAACAUGGCCAUCCUCUGCUACAUAUGCAGCUGGAGCCAUGGGCCUGUCCAUGUCUACUCUUUGGAUGGUGGAUUAGACUCUGGGAGCUCUGGUUGGUUGGUAUUGUUGUUCUUAUAGUGUUGCAAACCCCUUCAGCUUCUUCAAUCUUUUCUCUAACUCCUCCACUGGGGACCCUGUUGUCAGUUCAAUGGUUGGCUGUGAGCAUUCGCCUCUUGUCAUACUCUGGCAGAGCCUCUCGGGAGACGCUAUAUCAGGGUCCUCUCAGCACGCACUUCUUGGCAUCAGCAAUAUUGUCUUGAGUCUGUGGCUGUAUGAGUAUGGGCUGGAUCCCCAGGUGGGGCAGUCUCUGGAUGGCCUUUCCUUCAGUCUCCGCUUCAAACUUUGUCUCUGUAUUUCCUUCUAUGAAUAUUUUUGUUCCCCCUUUUAAGAAGGACUGAAGCAUCUGCACUUUGGUUGUCCUUCUCCUUGAGCUUCACAUGGUCUGUGAAUUGUAUCUUGGGUAAUCUGAGCUUUUGGGAAUAACCAUUAUCAGUGAGUGCAUACCAUGUGUGUUUUUCUGUGAUUGGGUUACCUCACUCAGGAUGCUAUUUUCUAGUUCCAACCAUUUGACUAUGAAUUUCAUAAAGUCAUUGUUUUUAAUAACUGAGUGAGUAGUACUCCAUUGUGUAGAUGUACCACAUUUGCUGUAUCCAUUCCUCUGUUGAGGGACAUCUGGGUUCCUUCCAGCUUCUGGCUAUUAUAAAUAAGGCUGCUAUGAACAUAGUGGAGCACGUGUCUUUGUUGUAUGUUGGAGCAUCUUUUGGGUAUAUGCCCAGGAGUGGUAUAGCUGGAUCCUCAGGUAGUACAAUAUCCAAUUUUCUGAGGAACCUCCAGACUGAUUUACAGAAUGGUUUUACCAGCUUGCAAUCCAAUCAACAAUGGAGGAGUGUUCCUCUUUCUCCACAUCCUUGCCAGCAUCUGUUGUCGCCUGAGUUUCUGAUCUUAGCCAUUCUGACUGGUGUGAGGUGGGAUCUCAGGGUUGUUUUGAUUUGCAUUUCCCUGAUGACAAGGAUAUUGAACACUUCUUUAGGUGCUUCUCAGCCAUUGGAUACUCCUCAGUUGAGAAUUCUUUGUUUAACUCUGUACCCAAUUUUUAAUAUAGUUAUUUGAUUCUCUGGAGUCUAACUCCUUGAGUUCUUUGUAUAUAUUGGAUAUUAGCCCUCUAUUGGAUGAAGGGUUGGUAAAGAUCUUUUCCCAAUCUGUUGGUUGCUGUUUUGUCCUAAUGAUAGUGUCUUUUGCCUUACAGAAGCUUUGUAAUUUUAUGAAGUCCCAUUUGUCGAUUCUUGAUCUUAGAGCAUUAGCCAUUGGUGUUUGGUUCAGGAAAUUUUCUCCAGUGCCCAUGUGUUUGAGAUUCUUCCCCACUUUUUCUUCUAUUAGUUUGAGUGUAUCUGGUUAUAUGUGGAGGUCCUUGAUCCACUUGGACUUGAGGUUUGUACAGGGUCAUAAGAAUGGAUCAAUUUUCAUUCUUCUACAUGCUAACCUCCAGUUGAACCAGCACCAUUUGUUGAAAAUGCUGUCUUUUUCCCACUGGAUGGUUUUAGCUCCUUCGUCAAAGAUCAAGUGCCCAUAGGUGUAUGGGUUCAUUUCUGGGUCUUUAAUUCUAUUCCAUUGAUCUACCUGACUGUCUCUGUACCAAUACCAUACAGUUUUUAUCUCUAUUGCUCUGUAGUAAUGCUUGAGGUCAGGGAUAGUGAUUUCCCCCAGAAGUUCUUUUAUUGUUGAGGAUAGUUUUCACUAUCCUGGGUUUUUUGUUAUUCCAAAUGAAUUUGAAAAUUGCUCUUUCUAACUCUAUGAAGAAUUGGAUUGGAAUUUUGAUGGGGAAUGCAUUGACUCUAUAGAUUGCUUUUGGUAAAAUGGGCAUUUUUACAAUAUUAAUCCUGCCAAUCCAUGAGCAUGGGAGAUCUUUCCAUCUUCUGAGGUCUUCUUCAAUUUCUUUCUUCAGAGACUUGAAGUUCUUGUCAUACAGAUCUUUCACUUACUUGGUUAAAGUCACACUGAGGUAUUUUAUAUUAUUUGAGACUAUUGUGAAGGGUCUCGAUUCCCUAAUUUCUUUCUCAGCCUGUUUGUCCUAUGAGUAGAGGAAGGCUACUGAUUUGUUUGAGUUAAUUUUAUAUCCAGCCACUUUGCUAAAGGUGUUUAUCAGGUUUAGUAGUUCUCUGGUGGUACUUUUGGGCUCACUAAAGUGUAUACUAUCAUGUCAUCUGCAAAUAGUGAUAUUUUGACUUCUUCCUUUCCAAUUUGUAUCCCUUUGACCUCUUUUCGCUGUCUGAUUGCUCUGGCUAGGACUUCGAGUACUAUAUUGAAUAGGAAGGGAGAGAGUGGGCAGCCUUGUCUACGGCCUAAUUUUAGUGGGAUUGCUUCAAGUUUCUCUCCAUUUAGUUUGAUGUUGGCUACUGGUUUGCUGUACGUUGCUUUUACUAUGUUUAGGUAUGGGCCUUGAAUUCCUGAUCUUUUGAGGACUUUUAACAUGAAGGGGUGGUGAGUUUUGUCAAAUGCUCUCUCAGCAUCUUCAUGUCAGUUUAAACUCUACCAAAUCUGUUCUCUGGAAACUGCUUAUGUGUUUGUAGGUCUGCUUUUGUCUUGUUUUCCAAUGUGGCUCAUGAACCCUCCUGGCUGGUCUCGCUUGCUUUUUUGGAUCUAUAACUGUUUCUUUUCAAUGUUGAUUUGAACACCACCUAUAUUUUCUGCAUCUAACAGAAAACCCUUGCUCAGGAGAGGAUCGGAGCACCUAAGUAUUUACUUCAAUGAUAUCACCAAAGCCACUUUGAAAUUGCCUUUUGAAUCAGUAGCACUGGAAACAGUAUCCUUAGGGAAUUUUUCCACCAUUUAUGGUGAACCAACAUUUCUUAUCACUUCAAUUCUCUGGAAUUGUUAAACUGACGUGGGUUGCUUGCAUGUAUGCGUGUGUGUGUGUGUGUGUGUGUGUGUGUGUGUGUGUGUGUUUGUGUAUGAACAUGUGUAUGUGUAUAUGCACAUAUGCAUGAGUGUGCAUGCCUGUGUGUGUGUGUGUGUGUUUGUGUAUGAACGUGUGUAUGUGUAUAUGCACAUGUGCAUGAGUGUGCAUGCCUGUGUGUGUGUGUAUGUGUGUGUGUGUGUGUGUGUGUGUGUGUUUAACACACAAGCGAUCUAUAAAAGAAGAUCAGCCCUUGAGGCAUAAGUUCUGGAAACAUAUCCAUGGAAUAAAUCUCGUGAGUUAAAUAGAUCAACACAUGAUAAACAAGAGAAACAGGAUACCUAAAACGGUGGGAGAGAAAUUAAAGGGGGAUCUGCCCUGGAGAGAGUGGCUUAUGGGGGCAGCAGGAAACCAGUGGUAAUUUACCGGCCAGAGACCUGACUCAAGGAACUAUGGGUAUAGGAGAGUAGAGCAGGACACAAGAGUACACCCAAGCCCCAAGAUCCAACUGUCAUAUUGUGAUGAAUGGUGUCUGCCACCCCUUCCACAGUCUUCCAGAAGAGCCUGGAAUGCACCCUGAAGAUCAUCUGUCUUCUCUUCCUUCCCUACAAAGUAGGCAAGCAGAAGCAGUCCAUGGGAAUUCCUGGCACAAAGGAAUCAUAUAAUUAAGAACCAUCACAUAUUUGAUUAAAGCCAAGAGAAAGGCCAUGAGUGAGGACACAGACUUACUGAUCCAUCAGCUUAAGACCACAGACCUCCGUGGUUCAGCGUUAUACACCACAACAGAGACCGCAUCCGUAAGGGGCCUCUAAGGACACAGCUGCAUCCUGCUGGAGAUCUGCUUCUUCUGGCCGUUCCCAGAACUGCCUGUCCAUUAUCACCCAUGCUCUCAUUGAAGACCGAGGACCAAUUAGCCUUAAAAGUUUUGGGUUUUGUUUGUUUUCGAUUUGUGUGCAUGGAUGUUUUGCCUGCAUGUAUAUCUGGGCACUGUAUGUGUGCCUGGUGCCCAAGGAAGUCAGAAGAGGGCUUCAGAUGCCUGGACCUGGAGUUGUAGCUGACAGUGAGCCACCAUGUGGGUUUUGGGUUCUUCAGGAGAAACACGCUCCACUGAGGCCACCAAAUGGCAACCUUUAUGGCCACCGUCCCUAUGUGCCAGCAGGAGAUCUGAACAGACUUUAUCUAAUUUCCUGCUUGAGGAAGGCAGGCAUGUCAGGAGGCAUCAUUUUCCCCUGGUUUUUCUUUUCUGAUGGGGAAACUGAGGCACAGCACGAGACAGAGGACGUACUUGAACACAGGAAGGUUAGUGGGCAUGGAGGGGAGGGAACAAGAGCGUCUGUGUGCUCUCUGUCAUUUCUUUUCCCAUUUUCUCAGCUGCGCAUGCCUUUACCCCAAUUUGGUAACCUUGAAAACAGUGCCCUUGGGGCUGGAGAGGUGGCUCAGAGGUUAAGAGCACUGGCUGCUCUUCCAGAGGUCCUGAGUUCAAUUCCCAGCAACUACAUGGUGGCUCUAAACCAUCCUAUAAUGAGAUAUGGUGACCUCUUCUGGCCUCGAGGCAUGCAUGCAGGCAGAACACUGUACGCACAAUAAAUCUUCAAGCAACACAAAACAAAAUGCCCCUGGCUAUCUGCUCACAAGACUGUGCCCCAGCUUUACAGGAGCUUGACUUUCUCUCUGCUGUCCACACUUGCUUAUUCUAUCCAACUGGACACUGACACACCUUGACUUUUAUUGUAUUUGUAAAGGUGAUAUUAUCUUGACUAAAUUCACUAAGGGCACAAUUUUUUUUUCUGUAUUCUUAAGAGUCUGAGCAAACAUGGGCAGUCCAUGAAUGGGAAUUUUCUGUGGAAGAAAGAAAUUGAGAAGGACCCUGAUCUCGGACAUCUUCAGGGAUAAGUGUAGCCAGAGGCAGAGAUGGAUUAUGAGGGGUUGCAGGGUCACAGGUGGGGUCUUGAGGUUUCAGACAUGCCCUACUCUAUUAAGUCAUUGUACUGGCCCCAUGGGCCAAAUGAUCUGGAACUUUAUCAUCAAACCUUCUCCUGCAGAUUUGGGAUCCAGUCAAAAUGAUCUCCAAGGAAACUUACAUACAAAUUGGAAGCUAUACCCAGCUGGUCAGUGGAGGUAGUUUGGAUCUGCAGAGUUUCUAGGACAUCGGGCAUUUGAGGCUGAAUGGAAACAAAAGAACACAAAAACCUGUGCCAAGCUGUUCAUUGGAGGUCAGCCGAUAGGCCUCAGGGAGUUCAGAAAUUUUGCACUGGGUUUGAACAUUGUUGAUUCCUGAUUAUCUUUCCUCAGAGAGCUUUCAUUAGAGCAUCGGAAUGGGCCAGGGGCUUGAAUAAGAAGAGUUGGAGACGAGUUAGAGAAUGGAAGAGUUAGAGAUGGUGGGCAAGGCUUUGUCUCCCCAGCCUUCACCACCUCCAACUUCAGGUAACCUAGGCUCUCAGGUACCAGUGUCUGUUAUUACAGUAGUAGGUUAGAAGGAAAGGAGGAGCCGAGAUGGGAGAGAGCCAAGGCACCGAGAAGGACCGUAGAAGCUAGAGGAUUAAGACAAGGUUGAGAAUGCUGGGCUUUUGAGGCUGUGAGGAGUCGUCAUAUGGUCCAACCGCUAUUGUUAAUAGAUAAGGAGAUGGAGGUCCAGGGAGGUUAAGUGACCCCCAACACUUUGGGGGUCAUUCAGUAGUUUCCUUGCCAGAGAGUGGCCCUGCUCCAGGACAUCUCUGUGGCCUCACAGUUUGUUCAUUAAACAACAGAUAAACUCACAAGGAAAAGACCAAUGAUGCUGUUGCUAUCUGGCUGUUUGGGUGGUAGCUACAGGCCACUGUGCUGUUGGAGCUUGGCAUUUGUAAUCACAGAUAGGACAAGGAAAACAUUCUUCUGGGGAUAUGUGAAUGCUUUAGAGGUUUUUUGUUUUGUUUUUACACCUGACCUAAAAAGCUUAAGAUGUUAACCAUUUAUUCAUCCAUUUCGUUAACACUUAUUGAGUGCUUCUGGCUCCGUGGCAGCCUCUGUGGAGGCUAAGGACAGAAGAGUGAGAUCUCACCAGGGAAGGAGGUGUGAAGCCAUGAUGGUGGUGAAGAGCACUGUACUGCAGAAACGGCUGGCUGGCUGGCUGGCUGGGGGUGGGGUACCUUAAAGGAACCUAUCAUAUUCAGGCCAAAGGGUACAUGCAAAGCCAUUUGUACUUCAGGGUGAGAAGUCUUGGAUACUGAAACUCAGGUGUGGGUGUGGAUCACGCCAUAAGAAACAGUAUCCGGACAACCCCAAGAACCACACAUUCCUUUGGGGCCCUGCUACUGUUCUGCCCAAGUCCUGAGAUCACACACCUUCACCGAUCAUGGAGAAUUUAAAGAUCGAGCAAUGACAGCCGUCACUGCCCAUGUGUGUGUGUGGCUUUCAAGGUUCUUUACCUCAGACCUCAGUGCCCUUCAUUUGAGAACUGACUUAAGCUGGGGAUUAAGCCACUUGGGAAGUGAGUGGGCUCCUGGGGCUGGUUAAUCAUAGAGUUGAACUCCGGUCUUCUGGCCACAGAAACUCAGUCAUUUGAUGAUUUGUCAAUGAUGCUGUCAUUUCUGUCCUUCCUCCUUUCAGAUUAAAACCCAAAAGUUAACUGAAAAAUUCUGAUGAGGCAGGCAAUAUAAGAAAAAACAAAUAAAGUGAUAUGGAAAACUA